CUCCCUCAACUACAGCUCGCGCUACGACAGCGUGCGGAUCGGCGGCGGCGACGACGACGACGACGUGCGGUCGGUGCACGUCCACGGCGACCGGACCGUCGUCGUGCACGCCGGCCGCGUGGACGUGUUCGGCCUCGACGACGGGAGGAGGAAGGCGGCGGUGCUGCAGCGGCGGGUGGAGACCGGGGACAACCGGGCCGGCGCCUGCGCCGUGUCGAGGGGGCCGCCCGGCUCGCCGUUCGCGUUCGCGUGCCCCGGCGUGAACGACGGCAACCUGCGCGUCGAGCGGUGGGUCGGGGGGUUCACGCCGCUGGUCAUCGGCGCGCACCGCUGGCGUGUCGCGAGCGUCGCCAUGUCGUGGGGUGCUAAGCUCGUCGCCACGGCCAGUGUCAAGGGCACCAUUGUGCGUGUGUUUCGCGUCGCCGACGGCGAAUUGCUCCAGGAGGUGAGAUUGGCGGCGGCGCCGGCGGCUGAAGCAACUGCUAAAAAAUCUAAACCCCACAACACUGAAACAAAAUCUCUAACCAAAUUUAGAGCAUGCGUAAAAUAUUUUUCAAUAUUGUUUUUAUGAAUUUUAGGUUUUUUAUUUAUUACAUUUGGUUUAUUGUUUUGUAUUAUAUGCGCAAUAUCGUUUAAUUUAGCUAUAUUAGGAUUGCAUUUUUUUAUGAUACGGAGGGGUAUGUUACUGUGUUUAAUGUAAACACCUCUUUGUUUAGUCCAUUUCUUGUAUUACUAUACUAUAAUUUUUUACAUUUUAUUGUUCACCAAGUUUUUCUUAUUGUUUAUAUAUUACAUGCACAAUAUCAUUUUAUUUGGUAACAAAUAUCAUAAUGUUAAAAGAUGCUUUUCAUCCAUUUCUAGAUGAAAAGAGGCUUCGAUAGAGCUGAUAUCUACAGUAUUGUCUUCUCCCCCGAUUCAGAGUGGCUUGCUGUCUCGAGUGAUAAAGGAACCGUACAUGUUUUUCAUAUCAAUGUUUGUUCGCCAUCUUCCUCCAAAACUGGUUGCCAAGAUACAACUCAAUCAUAUGAAUCAUAUGGUGCAAAAGCAAUGAAAAAAUAUGUUUCUUCUAUAAAAGGUAAUUUUAAUUUUGAAACUUGUUUGUUAGCUUUACUUAUCGUAAAAGGUAAAUUGUAUUUUGAAAUUUUUGUGUAUUAUUUUAUUUCUGACUCAUUGAUGAUUUUAAUAUGCUUUCAGAUUUACUUACAUUAGGAUAUUUCGAUCCAGAAAGGUCGGUAGCUCAAUUCCAUCUAUGUGAUAAUGUAAAAUACCUUGUCGCAUUUGGUACAAGACCAAAUAAAAAUAUUGUUCUUAUAAUCGGUAUGGAUGGAAGGUGAGUUAAAUUAUGAUAAUAUUUUCUCAACUUUUUCUUUCUUAGUUUAGAUGAAAAAAAAUCUGACCUCUAAUGUUUGUGCAGUUUUUACCGGUGUCAGUUUGAUCCAGUAAACGGUGGAGAAAUGAAACAGCUUGAGUACACGAAUUUUUUAAAUAUGUAGGGAUGAUGAUCUGUUCAAAAUCAGAAUAUGUAUUGAUAUUAUCAUAGUUGACAGAGAAGUUAUCAUUUUUUUCACUUGUCUUAUUUCGAUUUGUAGUUAAAAGAUAUUUUUGCCUUCAUAGAUUUGAUUUAUUUGUGUAUAUAGUGUCAUCGUAUUAUUCUCUUUAUAGUGUAGUGACACGAUAAUAUACAAUAAUACUUAGCACACUUGAAUCAAACUUAAUUCUCUUAAACUGAUUGAUUUAAUUUUAGUAUAUAUAAGUUCUAUUUAAGUUAAAAAAAUGAUAUUUUGAGAAUAGAAGAAUACUGGGAUAACUAUGAAACAUGUAACAUGUAGCUUGAACUAUGAUGUUCUUAUUAUUACCACUCUCUUCCUCGGGCUUGUUUGUUUGGAUAUUAUUAGUGUAUGGCGUCGUGAUAGCGGGCUAUUAAAACGUUGACACAUGUCAAAUCUAGCUCCGAAAGACAAGCAAACAGUCGAUUCGCGACGGUUGCCGAGAAAGCGACGAUCUAUCAAGCGCAACGCCACGCCUAUCAAUCCUAAAUGGCUACGAAACACAAAUAUCCCCUUUGAUGUGUGCUUGUGUACGUAUAUGUAUGCACAAUAAUGUUAAACGUGAAAAACGUAAAUAAAUGUUUGUGUUGUACUAUGUAUCUUCCUAACAACCAGUCGAGUGCAAGUGUGCAACAACCAAGGGGUCAUUAUUACUGUAGAUUAAUAAUAACCGUUCCUAUAACAAGAUUCGACACGAAAGUGUUCCUCUAAAAAAAUCGACACGAAAGAGAUCUAUAAUAACCAAAAAAAAAUAGUAAUAUUAAUUGGCGCCCGCCUCCUAAUUUUGCUGGUAAAAAAAAUAUAAAAAUGUUUUUUUCGAUUACAUGGCAGACGCAGAUGCGUGCGCACCAUUAUGCACGUGACACCACACUCGGAUCCUACCGAUUAAAUAUGUGGUUUUAUGAUACUCCAUCUUAAAUAUGUAGUUCUGGGAUAAAUUUAGUGGUUAAUUUGUAGUUUUAUGAAACAUCACCUUAAAUCUAUAGUUUUGUGAUAAUUUAGCUAAAAUAUUAUGAAAUUUAAUCAAAACUUUAACACGGCCAAUCAAAUAACUAAAAAUUUUGUUCAUCAACAACAAUAAGCAUGUGCUCUUAAAAAUAUAGGCGUACCAAUAGAUACACUGAUUUUCUGGUAGGAUAAAAGGGAUGGGAGAUGAUUUUCUGGUAGGAUAAAAGGGAUGGGAGAUUGAGAUAUAGGAAAAUGGAUGAAGGGUUAAGAUGUACUACACCGAGGUUAGAAGAAUGAGUAAGAUUAAAAGAUACCCUUUAGCCUUGGGAUUUGGAAUAUUUUAAUCCUAUAGAUAAAAUUCCUAGAAAACCUGGAGAAUUUCAAUACUACAGGAGAAAUUCAUAAGGUCUUUGAACAAACAUUUGAAUUAAAUCAUUUCCUUUAUAAGUAUUCCUAUAAAAUAGAUAAUUCCAUAUAGAUUACGGAGAAAAAAAUAUCUCAUGUUUUUUUUUCUUCCUGCAAACUUUAAAUCAUUUUUUUGAACAUUCAAUAUAUUGAACAUUAAAAGCACAAAACGUGCACUGGAGAUACAUGAUUGUUUUUCCAAAGAGCAGCUUGUAAGAGUUGCUUUGUAGGAUAAGUAUUGUCAUUACAAGUAUGACUAAUAUUUUGAUAAUUCAGCACUUCAGAUUCAACUUUAAAUCGUUGCGUUCCUCAUUUGUGUCAAGUAGAAGUUUCCUUUCUUUUUUUUUAAUUUCGUUAGGAAUUCAAUAAGCAUGUUAUUCCAUUUCUAUAUUUUCUUCUAUUUUAUGUUUUUUACAUGCGUUUUACAGGGUUGCUUAGUGGGUGGGAUGUUAACGAUUCCGAUAUGGCACUACCGUUCCGAAACUUGGCGGUACGACGUAUUUCACGUAAUCCGGUGGAAAACCAAUAUAUUCCUAACAAAUUUCGUGAACUAAAAUUUAAACACAAAUCCCUAAACUUACUGAUACAUUAAAAAAUCGAUCAGCUUCAACGAAAUUUCGGUUGAAUCCAUCGAAAUCAGAUCGAAAUAGACAGACUCUGAUCGACUGCCAUUAUCCAAACAAAGUCUGAUCUAGGGCUGUCAACGAGCCGAGCUUGAGUGAGCUCGUCUGCCUAAGCUCGAGCUCGACACAAGCUCGAGCCGAGCUCGAGCCUAUUCCACAUUCGAGCUUUUAGGCAAGCUCGGUUCGAGCUCGUUCGAGCUCGAGCUCGGCUACCGAGCUCGGUCAUAAGUAGUAUAAUAUAUAUUUUAAUGAUAAUCUUUUGAUAAGUAUAAUUAUUUUCUAGUUAAUCACACUAAUAAAAGAGUAGAAAAUGAUUAAAAUAAAUAUAUUAUGCUAACACAUGCUAAUUUAUUGUGUAAAUAGAUACUAAUAUAUAUAUUUACCUAUUAGUUUAUUAUAUUAAUAAGGUGAGCUCGAGCUCGUCUUGUUAAAGCUCGCGAGCUUUGCUCAGGCUCGGGUUCGGCUCGUUUGAAGCUCGAGCCGAGCUCGAAUCAAGCCUAGAACGAGCCCAAGCUCGAGCUGCUCGCAAGCCGCGAGCUUUUUUUUUGACAGCCGAUCGAUUGCCAUGCCAUCCCACCCACCGUUCGUUGGUUUGAUGAUGAUCCAACGGCCACCAAUUAAAAACCUUGUAGCCAAAAAAGAAAAAAAAUUAUAAAAACCAAGAGGUCGCGCACCCAAAGCCCUAGUCCUCCUCCAUCCCCAAACUCCGCCGCCGCCGCCGUCACCGCCGCUCGCCACCGCCGCGGCCGCCAUGAGGGCGCUCGACGAGAAGGAGACGAAGAUGGUGUUCGAGAAGCUGUUCAAGUUCACGGGGCCGAACCUGAAGCACCUCCUGGAGCGGCCGGCGGUGGAGGGGCCCGACCCGCAGGCCGGGCGCUACUGCCUCCGCCUCCACAAGAACCGCGUCUACUACGCCUCCGAGGCGCUCGUCCGCCGCGCCACCGCCGUCGCCCGCCCGCGCCUCGCCGGGGUCGGCACGCCCAUCGGCAAGUUCACCCACGGCGGCGCGUUCCACCUCACCGUCCACGCCCUCGACCUCCUCGCCGCCCACGCCCGCCGCCGCGUCUGGCUCAAGCCCGACACCGAGCGCUCCUUCCUCUUCGGCAACUCCGUGCCCAAGUCCUCCCUCGCCCGCAUCACAGAGAACACCAAGGCCAACGACGGCGUCGUCGUCAUGUCCAUGGCCGACGUCCCGCUCGGCUUCGGCAUCGCCGCCAGGUCGGCGCAGGACUGCAGGAAGGCCGACACCAACGCCGUCGUUGUGCUGCACCAGUCUGACGCAGGCGAGUACCUCCGCCGGGAGGAGGAGCUCAUGUGAGGUGAGGGCUGAGGCUUCAUUUUACUCUUGUGGGCUGAUUGUAUCGUAGGACUUAGCUAACCUUACAUAUUAUGCCUUCUUUUGUGUGCAACAAUUUUGUCAUUUGCUUAGCAUGCGCCUAAUUGGUUGAGAUGAGAGGAUUGUAGAUGCCAAGUUUAUUCAAUUGCAAUGCUAAUUGGUUGCUAAAUGAGGGGUGCUUGCCCCAGAAUUUGUGAAAUCAAUCUUGCCAAAUUCCGAGGUCGAAUCGAUGUUUUGAUUUCAGAGUUAGCUAAAUGAGGGAGUGUUUGGACCAGACUAUGUGCUAAAUUGUGUGAAAUCAAGCAUGCUGAAUUCUGAUAUCGAACUGAUGUUUCAUUGGAUACUUCAUCGUUUUGACUGUAUUUUGUGUAUUAGUAUUGAUUACAUUUGUCGAUAAACCUUGUGAGUUACAGCUGAGUUGCAUUGCACAGACAUUGUCUUGAAUUUGGUAAUCCAAAGAUCAUCCUUAUGCGGUUAUGUCUGUCUUUGUAAUGUGUUCACCUGCCUUCAUUGAUAACUUGGAACAGGAAGGAUUCACUCUCCUCCUGUAGCAUGCAUUCUUCAGAUUAGAUAUAUGAAGUGGGUUAGAAAGACAUGUUUUCAGUUUUCCAUAUAGGACAUUGGGUGAGCUUGGCUGUAGGCAGCCUUUGGGCGAUACUGUUUCUGUUAUAUACCUCUUUUUUUGUUCAUCCAUAGUGGAUCGAUGUAGAAGUUAGACUGAUCAUGUCUAAUCUAUGUUCAACAUGAUUGGUUGGAUCACUAUUUUCUUGGUUCAGAAUGAAUCAAAAGGUUUCUUUUUUACUAUUCAGUGCUGAUACGAGCUGUGCAUAGCAUUGGAGUCCCUACAGGCCUACACUGGGAUUGUGAUUGUAGGUUUAUGGUUUGAAUAUUUUUUUGGGUCCACGAUUUUAUUUUAGUUGUAGCAUGUGCAGACUAUUUGGUUGGCCUGAAUUGCUGUAACUACAUAAAACAGUUGUCACCCACCAUGAUACUCUGCUUCUUUUGUUCCCAAUAGCCACCAAAAAAAAAAAGAAAGAUAUGGUGGUACAACCAAACGACCCUAUGACCUGACUGUGCAGUAAACUAUUCUUUGACGCCACAUAACUUCUUUGCUUGAUUACAUGGUCUGUAGAACAGUUUUUCGUACAAGAAUGAAGACACUUGUAGCCAUGUACAUUCGGCUUAAAAGCGAUUCCGAUUGUGAAUGCAAUUCUGAUUUUCCAGCUAUCCUUCUUGCAGGUGUUGAGGUUUGACACAUUGGCGUGACUGCAGGACUGAAGGAUGCGCUUCCUCUUCAUGCGAUAAUUCGAAGUUUUUCUACCACCAGUAAAUGUGCGAUUUUUACCUAGUUUUAAGAUAGUGGAGGUCUGUUGUAUCAUCUAUCUAGUAGAAAAAUUUUGUUCCCAGGCUGUUCUAUGGGCCUAAAAGUGUUCUGUUAAGCUGUAACUUAUCGGUAAGCUACUGCAUGACUGAAUGCUGCAGGCCUGCAGUAACAUUUGAUCGUGAUCAAUGAUAUACUUGUCUUAUGGACCCUACGGAUAAACCCUGUCUGUCCAAUCUUCAUCAGUUUACGUUAAAACCUCUGGAUUUGUACGCAUUUUGGCUUUGAUAAGCAGAUAAAACUUACAAAUAAGAUAUGUAUUUCCUUUAUAGGAAUAAUGUGCAUUGAAAGAGAGACACAAUGACUGAAGGGUAAAUACUGAUCGAUCAGCCACAGAAAAAAAAAAUCAGAACGUCACUUGGCGACACAAUCGUAAGUUCGUAACGCAGCGUCCGGGCGGUUGAAACUUGAGAGGCAAAAGGGAAACUGGAGUUGCGAUGUCAUAAACCGAGUGAAAAUCGUCGUCUUCUUGUUCACUGCAAGCACAAUGUUCAGAGUGCACACAUACACCAUGAAAAGAACGGCCUCCCCAUCUCUUGUUCACAUCUUCAAUAUGCUCCUCUGCAGAGGCCAGUAUGCAAGGGAUUGGAAGCUAACGAGAAAAUUUAACAGGUAAUGUCAAGGAUACGAUCAUAUCUUGCUAAAAGACCGGAAAAUUUUGACAGGACAUACAUACUUUAUGUAGUAGUAUAAAAUUGCACAUUCCUGAGAGGUUUCAGCACUGAUGUACGGGUAGUGGUGUAUAAGUGGGUAAGCCACGAACCCACUUUAGAUUAAAAUAAUCAAUUCGUGAUUUAUUUUCGUUUAUAAAUGGGUUUCACGGGUUAGCCUUAGCCCCUUGCACCCUGCCUACGGGUGUUAAAUUAAUUUUCAGUCUAACAUGUAACAGCGAUGAGGCUGGCCGCCAGCGGCGUCGGAGGACACGACGACAAGCACGGGAGGCAAUACAGCGAAGAUAUCUCGAAUCCUAGCCGCACGUUUUUAAUCCUCCGCUCUAAUCCUAGCCGCACGUUUUUAAUCCAACGGGAGAGGGUUUGCGCGUUCGUGGUCUUCAAUAUCAUGGGACAUUUAAUUAUUUGCCAGUUUUAAGAUGUGCCAAUUAAUGAUUUGCCACUUGCUGUUUAUGACAUGUGGACCCUCACGUGACAAAUCAUUUAAAACCACUCAUAAGAGUGACAAAUAGUUAAUUAUUCCCAAUAUUGGAGUACGGUGGGGGUCGGAGUUUUAUAAGCCCAUGAAGCGGCCCAAUAUCUGAGCCCAAUAACCUUGAAACCGGCGUCCUCAGGUUAUCCUUGCACGGAAGAGAAGUCUGAUGAGCCAAUUAAAAAAAAAAUCAGAACAUGAGUCAUUCACAAAGGAACACUACCCAAAAAAGGAAAAGAAAAGAAAAGAAAAGAAAGAGGAUUGAGACAUUCAGUAUUUCAGUGCUAGCAUGUUGUAAUGCAGAGUCCAACAGAGAGUUAUUUUUGCUGCUUUUUUAUUGGCAGGAAAGAAAUUAAACUUAAUGGCGAUUUCGCUUCUCAGAACAGAAGAAGGCAUGACAUGCAAAUGCAAAGACUAGAGGAUAACCAAACAACAUGGAUGCAUUCAAGGCGCUAAUAUAGAGGAGAAUCUGGGGGCCUUGGGGGUUCGGAGUUUUAUUUUCCGACCUCCUUCAUAAACAGUUGCAUCUUGCUGCAAGAAAUUCAGAUAAGUCAUUGAUGACGUAUACCAUGCAUUAUUAAAUUUCAUAUAAUCAUGUCUGAGAGGUUUCAGUAGUGAACUAGCGAUGGAUGUCAAAUGCUGAGUCUCCCGUGCAACAGAGAUGUUGGCUUUGCCUUCGCCGGUGUUUCAGUCCCUUUGCUGAUCAGCCAUAGAAAAAGUUCAGAACAUGAACUCAUUCACUUGGUUCUACGAGGAUGAAUUCAGACAUUCAGUGCGUAUACCGUGCCGUAAACUCGUAAUGCGGCGUUGCGGUGCCCAACUUAGAACUGAUUUUGCUAUAUCUGAAGUCUGCACAUCUCACACAUAGAAAAAAGGGGGGAAAAAAUCUGUGGACGAGGGGGUUCUGGGUUUUGUUCUCCGACCCCUGUAAAUUGUAAGACAGCCAACUAAACUCGCAGUAAUCUGCUUAUGUUGUGUUCGUAUGUCUACUCUCUCAGAUUUUUUUUGGUGUCUGCUUUCAUUUCCUUGCACCGAAGACUGAUCAGCAACUGAAAAACAAAACAAGUUGAGAAUGUGAUUUGGUUCUACUUGUAUCAGAGGGGAACAAGGGGAAAGAAACAAUCACCGUUGCUCCACUCUUACGUCAAAAAAAAAAACCGUUGCUCCACUCGAAUGUGACGAUUGAUCAUCAUGCAACUGAUGCCUCGCUUUUCAGAAGAAGGCACCACAUGCAAAGAAGCUCUGAAUCUCUCUGAACCUGUGAAUGGGGUUCGGAGUUUUAUUCUCCGAACCCCCUAAACAAAUCGUUGGAUUAAAACGUGCGGCGCCAAAUCCUUCUCCGUCGCCGGCGGUGCCAAUCUCACCUCUACUCCUGAAAUACUGAAGGUGGCCACUCUCCCUGAUUUUUAUUUUGUUGCUGUUUGUUCUCAGUUUCAUGCGCAGAAGACUGAUAACCAACUAAAAAAAUUACGGUGACUUUGUCAAUCUCAAGGACUUGCCGAUUCAGUUUUCGAAGAUGCUCAUAGGGGUAGGAUUUAUGUGCGUGCGUUCAUAGGGGUAAGUGUGCGUGUGUUAUAAGUGUCUGUAUUAUACUGUAUAAUUCUAAAAAGAAAAAAAAAAUCAGAACAUGACCUGGUAAUUCUAUCAUAACUUCGCUGAUAAUUAAUCAACUGCUCGAACUUCGCUGUUCAGAAGAAGGCAUGAGUGCAUGACAUCAACUUCGCUGUUCAGAACUUCUAUCAGUGAUCGGUAGGAGGGGUUGGGGUUUGCUUCUCCCACCCCGAGCACGGAUAGUCUUUAAGGGCCUGUUCAGAUUGUAGUUAAAAUAAACUUUAUGCUAAAAUUUUGGCAAGUGACAGGAUUUCUUAUAUAUUUAUCAAAUUUGGCAACAAACUAAAUGUAGAUAUUUUUUUACAACUUUAUUAAAAAAAAGUAUGGAUGAAAAUAACAUCAAUCUGAACAGCCUCUAAGAUUCUGAAUGAGAGUUUUUUUUCUUCGGCCCCUAGUUUCCUUUAGAAUAUGCAUUGAAAGCCACUUGGAAAGAAAGAUGCAUUAUUAUUACACAAAAAUAGAACAAAAAAUAAUGCGUAUCCGGGGAAUCGAACCAACCAACCCCUAGUUUCCUUUAGAAUAUGCAUUCAAAGGCACUUGCAAAAAAAAAGAUGCAUUAUUAUUACACUAAAAUAUGCAUUGAAAGCCACUUGCAAAAAAAAAGAGAUAUAGCAUAAUUAUUACACAAAAAAAUAAAAAAAAUGAAUUAUUAUUACACAGUUUUUUUUCUUCGGCCCCUAGUUUCCUCUAGAAUAUGCAUUGAAAGCCACUUGGAAAGAAAGAUGCAUUAUUAUUACACAAAAAUAGAACAAAAAAUAAUGCGCAUCCGGGGAAUCGAACCAACCAACCCCUAGUUUCCUUUAGAAUAUGCAUUCAAAGGCACUUGCAAAAAAAAAAGAUGCAUUAUUAUUACACUAAAAUAUGCAUUGAAAGCCAUUUGGAAAAAAAAAAGAGAUAUAGCAUAAUUAUUAAACAAAAAAAAUAAAAAAAAUGAAUUAUAAUUACACAAAACUAUGCAUUGAAAGCCACUUGCAAAAAAAAAGAGAUAGCAUAGUUAUUACACAAAAAUGGAACAAAAAAUGCAUAAAUAGAGCAAAAAUAAUGCGCAUCCGGGGAAUCGAACCCCGGUCAGUACCGUGGGAGGGUACUAUGAUACCACUACACCAGAUGCGCUUAUUUGAACUGAUAGAUUAAUCGUUUACAUUUUAACAAAGACUGACAAGCUUUUGAAAAAAAUGAACUAAGCCAUCACAAAUGAUUUAUAGGUAAAAGUUUUCUUACUUUGUGUUAUUUGCCGUUUAAAAUCUGAUGUUAAAAAUAGAAUAUAAUGAAAAAACUUCAAAGUGACUUAAAUUUUAAAAUUUAGGAUAAUAGCUCGCUUCAUGGCAGAAUUUCUCCCCUUUUAAUCGUCUCAUUUCCCAAACCUCGCCGCAGGUAAGGGAGGGAAGGGAGCUGAACCGGCGGCGAAGACGGCGUCGCUGAGCCCGGAGAAGCGCCUCGCCUCGCCGCCGACGGCGAGCGUGCUCAGGUGUCGCAGCGGAAAAGGUCUGGCUCAAUCCCUCCCCUCUGUCGCUCGCCCGCUAUCUCGUUGUACGCGUUCUUCUGCCGGCCGCGCCUAUGAUGCGCCAUGGUUUUGUUGCGUAGAUCUGUGUUUUUAGGUGCUGAUCUGCGGAGUUUAGUUUGGUAUCGAGUGGAUUGAGCUGUGAUUUAGCCAAAACAGAAGGGAUGCCACUCUGGAUAUGGAGUAUUUAGUUGAGUAAAAUGAUCAAGCCUAUAAAUGUGUACCUUAACAUGUACUUCCUCCGUUUCAUAUUAUAAGACUUUCUAGUAUUACCCACAUUCAUAUAUAUAUGUGUGUCUAGAUUCAUUAACAUCUAUAUGAAUAUGGGCAAUGCUAGAAAGUCUUAUAACCUACGGAGGUAGUACUAGCCAAUCAUAGGGGUUCCAGGGAGGGUGGACUCCCACCAAGAUUCUGUGGAUGAGGAGGAUGUAAAAAGCGUCCUGAGGCGCCUGCUGCACAGGUGCCGGGAGGCCAAGAAGAUUGACAAGCAUACUAUGUAUUAUACCAUGACAUGUAAAUGAAGGUCAAGGGUAACAUGCUCAACAACAAGAGGGGACCUUAUGGAGAGUAUCCACAAGUGCAAGCUGAGAAAGCUAGGAAGAGAACUCUUUCCGACCAGUUUGAAGCCAAGCUUGCCAAGAGCAUGGCAAGCCAAGAAAGGAAGAUUUCCAGGAGGUAGGAGAGGUUGGCUCAGGUAAGAUAUUCAUAAGGUUCUAUGUGCCACUUGGAAAAUUAUUGUUUAAAAAAAUGUUCCUCUUGUUGACCACUCACUAGAGCCAUUUUAUUCUAGGAAAGAUCUGAUAAGUGGAUGCUUGUCGUCAAUUAUGUUGAGAUCUGCAGCUAUCAUAUGUAUGGCAUUUCGUACUCAGCAGCAGCCUAUGCAUUUGAUUGUUGAAAGUGCAUGCUUGCCAGCUGUCUUUUAUUCAAACUACAGCCUUGUUUGCAUUUUUGUUUAGAUAUUACUGAUUUUUUCUUCUCUGAAGCUAGUUACAUAGCUCAAUUUUGUUUAUAAAACUAUAUUAUAACCUUUUGUUAAAUAUUUGCAAUUUUCAUCAAAUAGGGACCGGUAACCUGCACCAGCUGCUGCAGCUCCAGCAUAUGUACCUUGAAACUGCUUUUUUCUCUUUCACGGCUAUUAGUUCUUUGUUUGCUUAUUAUCUGCCAGUUUCCAUUGUUUUAGGGUACCAAAAAAAGUGGAGGAGCCAAGAGUUGCUAAGAAGCUUUAGCUUGCUGGUCAGUUGGUACCAUUGAGGAUUAGCCUAAUUUUGCAGCUCUGAACUGUUUUGCUCUAAAUCAAAUGUCCUGUUUCAGAUACUUUGGAUAUCAUAUCGUGUUCGUUCUGUUGGAUGUAGUAGACUAGUAGAGAUGUUUACGCAGUCUCUUAAACACACUUGUGCUCGUAAUUCUGCUGAUGUUUAUGAAUCUAGUUUUGCAAUACUAAACAAUAAACAGUUUGUGGUUGUUUGGGCGCCUUCACACGGUUGGUAUCUUCCAGCUCCGCUACCUGUUCUAUCAAACGUCAUCUUAUAUGCUUUGUUGAUCAGAGGUAUUUUUCACUUGUAGGUAUUACUUGAUUAUCUCCCUUUAAAAGGUGAAAGCCGUCAUGUUCGUGAAUUUAGAAUUUAACAAUAUUCGAUUCCAAAACAACUAAUAACCCAUCCUAUAACAGUUAAAAAAAAUUAAUAUUAAAGACUUGAGGUAAUACUUGAGAAGCUUCUGCGUUCCAGGAUAAACGGGAAGGGAAUUAUACUGGGAAUGAAGGGAAUCGGACCUGGUAAGUGGUAAAUACCGAGUGGGAGGGUAUACUAGGAUACCACCCACAACACCAGAUGCUCAGCACAAAAUUUUCCAUCACUUGUUUAAGGUCGAACUAUCUCUUAAAUUUGCUUAUACGUUUUCUUGCAAAAUAUAUAAAUACCUAAAGGGCAAACCUCUCAUUUCAAUGUCUCUCAAUAUUCGAAUAGUUUACUGAGAGUGAAAUAAUAUUUUUUCCAAUAUGGAUUUUUCCGAUGUAGCAGUGGAACAAAAAGAGAUUUUUUUGGAGGAUAUGUGGUUAGGAUCAUGUCCUCUCCAAGAUUAAUGCUCUUUGCUGUAUAAUGUGACUCGAAAGAAACAUUCUGCUAUAACGAAGGUUAUGAAUACAAUAUCGCUUAAUAUUUCAACAAUAUCUCAUUUCGGCGAGCGAUUGUUUGAUCUAAAUUGCUUGGUUGGAUCCUGGUAAAAAAUUGCUUGAAUGGAACAAUUUAGUUGAACAACCGGCUAUGGUUACACUAUCAAAAUGAUGAAAAAGAUUGUUUUGUAUAGUCUCGUUCAAUGAAAGUGGUAGUUGUUCUAUACAUUCUAUGUACCCCACAGAAAUGAACUAUAAUGUGAGGAUUUUUAUAAGGAUUCGGGUUCCAAAAAAAAUAAAAACUUUUAUGUGUUUUCUCUUUAAAAGUAAUUCUAACAAAAGAAAAAUUGAGAGGAGAUAGCUAACAUUGUUUUUUUUAAUCUGCAAGAGAUAAUUCAACAUCUGUUUUGUAGAAAAAAUUAACUAUUUCCCACUCUAGGAAUGUACCACUCUUCAAAUAUCAUUAUAGAUGACGUAACAUACAUAGGCUUACGGACCUUUCGUUUCACUUAUUCAGGGAAUAAGCGAAGAGCUGCUUCUAUAACCAAUUCAUAUGUUUUUUUUUCAAAUACUGACUGUUGUUAUAAGAGUAUAAGACCCACAGCUGAUAAUAAAAAGAUAAAUGACAAUGGGACCCACAACCAAUAGCCAGAAACAUCCCUAGCUAUCUCUAGGGGGAAAAAAACUUGAAAGACUAAAAGACCACAAAGAUAAUAAGUAAGGGUCUCAUCUUUUCGCUUAUGUUUAUUCUUAUCAGCCAAAAUUUAAAUUUUCGACCUUAAUUUGGAGUUGAUUUUGGUGUUUUUUUCAUCGAAGUUUAUUUUUCAGUUUUUGCUUUUAGAUCACUAACAACACGUAUAUAAAAGUUUUAUUUAUAAAUUAUUUUUGGUUUGUAAAUUAAAGAAAGAUAGCUUGUGAGAGAACAGUAGCAACAGAGUUGUGAAGCACAUGACAUUGUCCUAAUUGGACCGUCGGCCGGGCGGAUCCUGGUGGCAUUCCUGCAGGCUGAAGUUUCAACCAAAGAAUAUAUACAUUCAAAGAUUGGCUUUUCUUGACGUACGACGGCCGGCCGGCCGGUAAGCACUACUUUUAGAUUUAGAUGAGGCUAUGGACCAAUGGAACAUUUUGCAUGCGCUCAUGUCAUCUCCGAUCGAUGGACGAUGCCUGCGAGGAAUUAUAAGCGGAUUAGCGUGGCGCGCGAGACGGCCGCGCGCGGCGCGCAAGUCGGCCAAGUUGCGGCGGCGGUGCGCGGACGCGGAGCCCGCGCCCCACGUGACGGCCCUCGUCUGACAGCGCCGCCGCGGGUUCCCUGUCCCCCCGCACCUCGCUCGAUCGACUCAUCGCCAUUGCUCUCUCCCGCCGGCGAUCGAGACCGCCCACCACAGCUUUUCAUGCGUGGGCGCGCCCCCACAAUAUUCGUUAGUCCAUGUCGCGCCGACCGCCUGUUGCCGGCCGGUGAUAACGCGGAAUAUUAUGUAUCCGGCCCGUUCAAACGGGAUGAUAUCUUAGAAAUAUCGGGUAUUAGGUGAUACCUACUACCAUCCUGUCUAAACGAGAUAUCAGCCGAUACCUAGUAAGUAUCAGGGCAGGUGAUCUCUCUGAGAGUUAUCAUCUCGCCUAAACGGGAUACCGUUAUAUAGACAUUUCAAAAGUUUAUUACUUUUUUAUAGGAGAGAACUACAAAUCGUGCGUCCAAUUCCCACCAAAAGUUUUUUUUGCUAUCAAAUGUUUUAGUUAACCACUAGGUGAAGCAUUAAUUUAUACAUGGUGAAAGAAAAGCAAUUGAAACAUUUAAAAAAAUUGUGAAAUACAGUGAAAAUACAAGUUGAAACAAUGUUGCUGUCACUUAUGAAACAAUAAGUUCUAACACUCUGAAAUAUAUAUAUAUCGGAAUAUAAUUACGGGAUAUCUUGUUGUAAAGAUUUAAUUAUAACAAAUACAACAUUGUGAUCGGAUCAUAUAUUGGAUAAAUAAUUUAGGAGAAAAUUUAUUUUGAAGAUUGCUAUAUGCAUGCAUGGAUGAAGUGGAGAGAGAGAGAGCAAGUAGUAUGUUCGAAGAGAGAGUAGGGGUAGAUAAUUGCGUAAAUUUUAUGAAACUUAAUGAAAACAUAUGCUACAACAUUUCGCUAUCACACAUGUAACAUUAAAUUUUUACAACUGAAACAUAUAUUUUUCUUUCAUCAAAAUAUAAUCAUAUAACAUCUCACUUCUCACUGUAAAGAUCUAAUUAAACUAAUAUAACGGUGUGAUUGGUUCAUAAAUUGGAUUAAUAAUUUAAGACAAAAUAAUUUAAAGCUUAACAAUGAGAUAAUUAAUAUACAUGGGAGAAAGAGAAAAAAAAGUACAAUAUAGUACUGAAGUACAAGGCAACACAUGCAUACGCAAGAGUAGCGGAGGGAGUAAAGGGCGUUUGAUUUUUAUUUUGCUGGAUCGGUCACCCGACCUAGAUCAUUCUCUCUUUAUUCACGUUUAGCUAACUAAGUGUUAGAGGAAUCAUAAUAAUUCACUAAAUUCGAAAUAAAAUUAAUUAUGUGUUGUAAUUGUUGUAAUGUGUUUUUUCUAUAAACUUAGUUAAAAUCAAAUAAUUGAUCUAAAACAAACUCAAAACACCUUACAAUAUGGAAUAUGGAAGUGCAGAGAGUAAGGCCCUGGUUGUUUCAGACUAAUAUUAUUGUAAUCUAGAUUAUUAAAUCAGAUUACUGUAAGCUGGAUUGUAAUAAGUUAAUAUAGAAUAAGUUGCGUGUUGUUUAUUUCUCUGGAUUAUUGGAUGUAUCUAAGGGUAGUGGGUAUUUAGCUACUCAAUAAUCUGGAAAAAAAGCUCCUCUAGAGAAGAUUAUUAGAUUAUACUAAUCUGGCUUAUAGAUUAUAAUAAUCUACUUGUUUGUUUUAGCUUACUUCUAAUAAUCUAAAUUAUAAUAAUUCUAAGCUGAAUCAGGGCAUUAAAUAUACACUCUACAUGAGUUUGCAUCUGGCCGGUGCGACGAUGGCUAACGACGCCACUACGAUCAUCCUCGUCCAUGAGCGCCUGGUUCCACCCGUUUUUGUAUAUUCUCUGUUGUCCUACCUACAGGAAUUGAUGCAUAGAUUUCCCUUUUUCCCAUCUAAGUUCAAAGGUUGCAGGAUAUAAAGAUCUUGAUUCCUGAUCAUUUAUCCACCAAUUACGAGGAGUUGGCAUUCUCAUAUGUAAUUAUAAUACAAUCGUAAUGUAAUUACAUGUAACUUGCAUGUAUCUACAAUGUUACUUCCAAAAAUCCCUCCGUAACAUCCUAUUUUCGUGAAAACGGAGAUCGUGAGAACGAAUCCUCUCACAUGUGCGCACCCUAUGACUUUUUCCUUCCUCACUUGCACAAAUCUUGAAGUAAAUCUAACGGUUCAAAAUUAUGUGAAAGUUACAUGCAAGUUACAAUAAUUACAUUGCGAUUGUAAUAUAAUUACAUCUAUCAAAUUUUUAGGAGAAAAUUUCUCGACAAAUAUAUAGCAAAAUUGUUCUGAAUUAUUGUGCUUUUGAAAGAUCCUCUUGAUUAUUAUUGGACUCGUUUUAUUUCAUGUGAGAUCUUUCCGCACCAAUUUUUAUGCGACUUCAAUAGUAGGUUUAAUUUACAAAACCGAAUAAACUGGUUCCAUGGUUCUUAGUUGCAUCUAUUUUCACAUGAAAAAAAUUAAAUGCAUUUAAUAAGAAUAUGUUAUCGGAAAGAUAAUUAAUAAAUUAAACUAGGCAUAACUAAGAUGUUGAACUCAAUGGAGAAUAACAGAAUAGCCGGUUCCUUAAAGUUGCUGAUGUAGUAAAGCUAACGUACAAAUGUUGUCUUCCAUUGGCAAAAGUAGAUUGAUGCCAUGAAAGCUUGGUGUAGCACCGAAUCUGCAGGACAAGCUAGCGUUACUGUCAAAUAGAAGAAACGCAAAGUUACCAAGUUACCUACUAUCUUCCGUUCAUCCGUGGGAGAAGUAUACAUGACAACUUCAUAUAUGUAAGGAACAUGGUCAGGAAAUAUCAUAGGACCAGACGACCAAUUCUUCUCUUCAAGCUGGACAUUUCCAAAGCUUUUGACUCAGUCUGGUGGGACUACCUCCUCACUCUCCUGCAAAAUAGAGGAUUCCCACCAAAAUAGAGAGAAUGGAUAACGGGUCUCCUCUCAGCAUCCACCUCAAAGAUCAUCCUGAAUGGAAUGCCUGGGGAGGCAAUCAAGCACGGAAAAGGGCUUCGGCAGGGGACCCCCUAUCCCCUCUCCUCUUCAUCCUAGCGAUCGACCCCCUACAACGUCUGCUAGACAAGGCCACUGAGCUUGGGGCGAUAAGCAAAUUACGAGGGAAAGCGGUACGUUUCCGCAUAUCCUUGUAUGCUGAUGAUGCAGCUAUCUUCAUAAACCCGAACAAAGAAGAUAUGCAAGCCUUCACUGAUCUCCUUGGUCGCUUUGGGCACGCAACUGGCUUAUGGACGAACCUCCAAAAAUCACAUGUGGCCCCAAUCAGGUGUAAUAACUUGGACCUCGAUGACACCCUAAUGGACACGCCAGCAACCAGAGCAAACUUGCCUAUGAAAUAUCUAGGUCUACCCCUGACCACAAGCUGGCUACGGAAGACAGACCUCCAACCGCUAUAUGACAAGUCGAUGAGUCGCAUUGUUGGCUGGCGAGGAAGACACAUCGGUCUAGCGGGACGCUCUACCCUGGUAAAGGCGGUGCUUACCUCACAACCUGUCUUCCUACUCACAGGACUCAAAGCUUCCAAGGAGUCCCUCAAGGUCUUAGAUAAACAAAGGAGAAAAUUCCUUUGGGCGGGAGGAGAGGCUUUGACAGGGGGGAAAUGUAAAAUCAAUUGGACGCGAACCUGCCUCCCCACUGCUUCCGGAGGCCUGGGCAUCCUAAAUCUUGAGAAAUUUGCAAGAGCCUUAUGGUUACGUUGGCUUUGGCACGAGUGGAAAUCACCCGGAAAAACUUGGGUGGGCUCUGGCACGCCAUGUGACGACACUGAUAAGCUCCUCUUUGCGGCCGCCACAACCAUAACGAUUGGAAAUGGUGCCAAAAUAAGCUUCUGGGAAUCGGCCUGGACGCAGGGGAGGAGAUUGAAGGAUGUUGCGCCGCUUGUAUACGCAGCCUCCAAGAAAAAGAACAGAACGCUUCAACAGGCUUCGCAAGCGAACCAAUGGCUUCUUGACUUGGACUUGCCAGGGACUGCGAGCUGGACGACAGACCUGAUUGAUCAACUUGUCGGGGUUUGGAUCGCCGUUCAGGCUAUACACCUGGUAGAGCACGAGGAGGACAAUAUAACAUGGAAGCUUACUAACCAUGGCGAGUACACGACAGCAUCAGCAUAUAACGCACAACUUCUUGGAACCACCGCUACUAACUUCAAUAGGCUAAUCUGGAAAGCCUGGGCGCCGUGUAAGUGCAAGACCUUCGCCUGGCUAAUCAUCCAAAAUAGAGUCAGGACCUCUGACAGGCUGGCGACAAGAGGUUGGCCAAACGGUUCCAUUUGCCCCUUAUGUCGUCGGACCCAGGAAACAACUCUGCACCUCCUCGCAGCAUGUAGAUACACAAGGAGAGUCUGGGCGGCACUAGCGGAGUGGGCGACGUGCGAGCAACUAAAUCCUAGCCAAUGGAGGCAAACUUCAACGGUGCUAGAUUGGUGGGAGGCUACCGCAAACAUACAAGAGACACCUAAGAAGGCACUCCGCACUUUGAUGUUGUUGGUCGCCUUGGAGAUAUGGAACGAAAGGAAUCGCAGAACCUUCCAACAGAAGGAGCUUUCAGCUACCUCCCUUUUAGCCAAGAUCAAGGAAGAGGCCAAAACUUGGGCCUUAGCAGGAGCGAGAAGUCUUAAUAGCUGCUUUCUUUUAGUUAGCUCGGACCAAAGGUCCUAGCUCCUUUCUUUUUUCCUUUCGCUUUGUAAAGUUCUCCUUCUCUAUUCAAUGAAAUUGGCGCUCGUCGAUUCGUUCAAAAAAAAUAGACUAAGCUGAUUCUAAGAAUUCAAACUUUGUUUCAAAACAAGUUGAUUCUUACAGUUUACAAAAAUUAUCCAAAAAUAAGUUGAUUUAUAUAUAUCCUCUUAUCUAUUCUUGGUCUGUAAAUCGACAAGUUUUAUUCUCCUAUAUUAGCCGUUAUACAUAUAUAUAGCAGCAUGAUGUUUUUCAUAUCUCAUUUCUCUUCUUAAAUAUUUUAAUUCAGGUGCUGUAAAAAAAUUGCCAUGCAUCCUUAGUUGAUGUAGAGGCCGAAUCUUCACUUUGUUUAAAAAGAAAAGAUGAAUACAUGUUGCCACAAAAAUCCUAGGGAACCUAUAUAUAUUACCACGAGGUACACGCUGUUGAAAUGUCCCCGUAGAAAUUGUUGUCAUGCAUGUGAAGAAAGCACAAUUAUCAUGGUUGGCAUGAAAGUGAAACCGGUCGAUAUAGAAGGAUGAGAAGAAUAGAUUCAUUUUUUUUUUGAAGAAAAAGCGGCAAGAGAAUUGCCGAUUAUAUUAGGAGGUAGAAUAAAGUCUUACAGCAUAGUUCUUAGAAAGAUUAAUACAUCUUGGGAAGAAAAGAUAGGUAGAAAAGUAGAGCUAGUAAUAAAUUAGCGCGGUUUGAAAACAAAAUCCCGAUCUCUAAUGUCUUCCAUUAUAGCAGUUAUAGUCUGCGGGAUGUCUGGUGAUUGGUUCCUGAAGAUUUUUGCAUUUCUCAUUAACCAAAUACGCCACCAUGGUGUUAAUUAGAAGGAGAAGAAUAGAUUCAUUCACGGGUAAAACCCCAUCAGUCGACGUCGUCGCGCGCUGUACUACGUGGUAAUCGAUUCCAUCGUCGCAUCUGAUCUCAACACCACUCUACAUACAGUAUCUCUUAGCCAAGCCAGGUGUACUACCACACACUGGCAGUAUGUACAGUACUGCAUCCAGCUAUAGCUAGCUGCCUAUAUAUACGGUGAUAUGCAGACGCAGGUAGCAGCAUCAUAUCAGCAACGAGCAGAUCGAUCGAAGAGGAUAGAUAGGUAGAUAGAAAUAAUGGCGGGAGGAGGGGUGUGGGUGUUCAGGAACAACGGGGUGAUGGAGCUGGAGGAGCAGGCGACGAGCAGGAAGGCGCUGGUGCAUGUGGCGACGAGCGAGGUGAUCCGGUCGACGGAGGCGCUGGAGCGGAGGCUGGGGGCGCUGGGGUGGGAGCGCUACUACGAGGACCGCGCCACCCUGCAGCUCCACAGGCGCGACGGCAGCGCCGACCUCAUCUCCAUCCCCCGCGACUUCUCCCGCUUCCGCUCCACCCACAUGUACGACGUCGUCGUCAAGAACCGCGACCACUUCAAGGUCGUCGACCUCCACACCUAGAUUUAUCACUUAUUACAUAUUAAUGCAAAAACCAUAUAUAUAUAUAUAUAUAUAUAUAUAUAUAUAUAUAUAUAUAUAUAUAUAUAUAUAUAUAUAUAUAUAUAUAUAUAUAUAUAUAUAUAUAUUGCUUUGCUUAAUUUGGUGUGGUGUGGUUUGGUUUGGUUUGGUUUAAUCUCUGCAUACAUACAUAAUCAUGCAGAUGGCGUAAUGCAUGCAUGUACGAUCACUGGUAAUGUAAUGUAUAUAAGUGUGUAAUGUGCACUGUGUGAUUGAUAUAUAUGUAUAUGAUUGUAAAAUCAAAUGUUCAAUAUAUAUCUAUACUAGAAAAAAAAUAUCCGUAAGUUACAAUGGGUGAAGCUUAUUUUAAUGUUAUUAUUAUUAUAUGGUUUAGUUAAAGUAAAAUUCACUAUGAGAAUUCGCUUGAAUAUAUAUUUUCCUAGAAAAUCAUGAUAGGAGUCCAAUCAUCUCAAAUCAGCAUGCGAGUUUUUUUAAAUAGAUUUUUUAUACGGCUCCUUCUGUAUGUUUAAAAGCGAACGAACUUAAAGCAUGACUCAAAUACAUGCAGGUUUUUUAAAGAGAUUUCUUAUAUGAUUUCAUAUGUAUUUUCAAAAGCGAACAAACUUAAAACCCGACUCAAAUACGGAUCUUUAUUUCUAAAAACGAACAAACUUAAAACUCGACUCAAAUACGGAUCUUUAUUUCCAAAAGCGAAUGAACAUAAAAACCGACUCAUUCACGAAUGACGUACCAAAGUGCUAGUAAAAACAUCUUGAAUGUUUAUAAUAGUAGAGAUAUAUAUCCCGUAUGUGUAAAAAUAUACAAUGGGGGUUGCUAGUUGGCGCGUGCACGCCAGUUCCGUAACUGGUGCACACGCUAGCUGGCGGCGCAUGCAUUUUUUCGUAUUUUAUCGCAUAUUUUUAUGUUUUUUUCCUUUUUAAAAAAAUCGUUAGCACACGUGUUUUCAAAAUAUAUUGAGUUGAAAAUUUCAAAUCUUGAGUUGAAAGUUUCAAAUCUCGAGUUGAAAGUUUUUAAAUUUUGACUUCAAAGUUUAAAUCUUAGGUCAAAACUUGAAAGUUCAAAUUUCAAGUUGAAAAUUUUAAGAAUAGUUUCAGUUUGCGUUGAAAGUUAGAAAGUUUUAAAUUUUACGUGAAAGUUUCUUUUAGUAUAGAUUUCUUUUCAAUCUAUUAGUUAAAAAAAACAACCGGAGAAAAGGGAAGACUUACCUUAAUUAUUGUCACUAUCUAUAACUAAUACAAUUAUUAGUUACGCUUAUUACUCCCUAAAAACGCGUGUUCGCAGGGCGCGCGCCAACUAACUUUUCCGAUAUACAAUGUUGUUGUAUCGUACUCCUUUCUUCCUAGAAAGAAUCGAUUUCUGGAGAGAAGCAUUUGUCCCAGAAAAAAGCGAUUAGUGAUGCAUUGAAUGAGAUAGCAGUACAGUCACAGCUGAGCAACCAGGAUAGUAGUCUAUCCACUUGUUCACGCAAACUUCUCUAUUCUCUCUCGUUUCUCUCGUCUACUCCCUCUCUCAUUCACACAUGCACUCUGUACGAGAGUAGUACUUGUGCACGGAAGUUUGUUUUUUUAUUUGAAUGAUGGAAUAGAUGUUGUACUUAUACAAGGGUAUUUGGGUCUUUAAUAGUGGUAGCUAAAAUUGCCUCGGGUAUCAGAAUUGCUAUUUUUGGGGACAGAUGGAGUACCUGUCAACGUAUAGUAACAAGGAACCUUAAAAAACAAAGUAGAAGAGGAGGAGGAAUCUGUAUCUGUGAUUGAUGUAAAUGAUCAGCUUGUAAGGACAUGUACAAUGGUUGUUAAUAGUGGUCUCUUAGCGUUGCUAAUUAGGAAUACUUGUUGACAUGAAGGAAAGAGAAAGAGGAGAGACAAAACAUCGUUGUUAUGCAUGACAACAGCUUAACAACGACUUUUAGUCACUAUAAUAUAGAAAUAUGAUUGCAUGAGGAUAAAAAUAUGAAAAGAAUAUUAACAAAAGGAAUAUUUUUUGAGUUAAUGAUUAGAGCUUUUGUCGUCUCAACUAUUGUAAAGACAUGGUCUCUAAAUAAUCUUGUAUUGUUUAAGAGGUCAUACCCGUCUCUAUCAUUGAACAUGCCCUAAUAAUGCAAGCUAGCAUGAUCUGAUGUGUACGACUGUAACUGCAUGUUCUCAUCAAACGCUCAAUAUAGUAUCCCGUUUGUCGUCGUUGUAUCCAUCUGUCAACAUAGAACAAGGAGCUCUUUUUAAAAAAAAGAAAAAGAAAAAGAAUCUGAAUAGAGGUAUUACGUGCAUGUUUGUCCGGAACCACUAUCGCUAAGAGAAGGCUGGAAUAAAACGCAGCAUCUAUCUUUUCACUCUCGCAGUGAUGUCCCGGUCAAGUUAGCUUAGCUCCCGGCCGGAUGGGCCCACCACCAGGAGAAAUAUUCUGAUGACGAACAGGGAUAGAGUUUGAUGAACUUACAUUGGCUUAGUUCAGCGCAAAGUUUAGAUUUUGGUUAAAAUUGGAGAUGAUGUGACUGAAAAGUUGUGUGUAUAUGACAGGUUGAUGUGAUGGAAAAGAACUGAAGUUUGGAUCCAAACUUUGGAUCUAAACACAACCUAGUUUAUGAAUAUACUGUUUAUGUAGUGGACAGACACACGGCGAAUACGAUAUCAAUUUGAUGGUCAUGGAACCUGAUACCAACCCUAUCUAAGGUAUGGUUUUUUUUCUCCAAUAAAAGUUGGACGAAGAUUAAGAUUUUUAUGGUACACUUUUCAAAAUGCUAAAUAGUGUAUUUUGUACGAAAAUUUUCUAUAUGAAAGUAGCUCUAAAAUAUCAUAUUAAUCUAUUUUUCAAGUUUGUAAUAAUUAAAACUUAAUCAAUCACACGUUAAUACCACCUCGUUUUACGUAUAAAACUUCACCUUCAUCUUCAGAAUAAAAGAACACCACCGAAGAGCAUACUACAUAUAUCUCAUUCAACCCUAAAUUGAUUUAUUUUGAAACAGAGAGAAUACAGUUUAUUUAUUAAAGCGACAUGCAUUAUUCAGUGCAGAGUACCGUGCAUAAUUGUAAUUUGUAGUAUAUUCAGACAAACUAACCAUUGGUAAAAAGAAGAAGAAAAGAUCACAAGUUGGGCCCUCACUAAUUAAGCACUACGUCAGAUAUGAUUGGCCAUCAUUGCAUUUGUUUUACUUAACAAAACAAAUCGUCAAAUCAAGUCGAACACCAUCGCAUGCAGCGUGUUGUUGGACAUUUAAUAUGUUCCAAUUUCCAGCGGCGGAUCACAUGUUCUUGAAUGAUAAAAGGCGUAUGAACAAUUAAGUGACUAGUCGUCAGUCAGGUAGCAGCAAUAGCAUGGCUUUGAAGCCGGGAGACAAGUGUUCUGCAACCACCAGCUGACAGGGCGUUUUCUCACGUCGCAUUUGCGAUUUUGCAGGCGAGAGAUUUACCCCUCUGCAUCCAUCCACCAACCCGAUCGACGACUGGUUUGCUUGCAUCUGAAAAAUGUCCUCUUCUAGGUGAGGUACAGUACAAUUGUACAGAAUAAAGCCAUACAACUCACGCUUGAUCUGGCCCAAUUCUACCUGUCUCCUGCUGAUCGAUGGCGGAGCCACCACCUCUAACGGCACCGGCGCCGGCGCCGGCGACUCCUCCGGUAAGUACAUGCAGUUGACAGCUGAAUUCAGAAUCCCUGGGUGUUUUUGUGUUCAGAGUUCAAUUUCUGCUGAUAUGCAAUUAUGCAUGCUUGUUCUUGUUGAUCUGUAGAGAUUGGCGGGGUUCGAGCAGUUGGACGCGCGCAUCAAGGUGUGGUGAAUUCCUGGGCGGCGGCGUUGGUUCUUGGCGUUGAGAUUUUCGGCUGAUUUUAUCCUGUGUCUCGUUUCGAUUGCAGGAGCUGACCUCGUCGCAGGGGGAGUUGCUGGACAGGAUCCAGAAGCUCAAACUGGUAUGAAUUGUACUGCGAAAUUCUUUGCCUCUGUUGCUGCUGUGAUUGGGAAUAGAAUUGGAUUAUUGGAGAAUUUCUCUGUCUUGAUGGCAAAAUGAUGGAGAAUGAGCAGCAGAAGUGCUUUUGCAGGAGGUGCAGAACUGGCGCUCCAACCUCGAGACACAGGUCAAGACAAGCCAGAAUGUGAGUACUGUUUCAUCAUCUCUCUGUACAGAACUGAAGAAAGACUCCUGCUUUCCUGAAGCAAAACGUACGGGACCAUCUUAUAGCAGGUGAUGGCAACUCAUGCAGGAACUUUUGGAGCUGAAGAAGGGGCUAAAUUCUGAAGUGGAGCUGCUGAAAUCGGUCUCUCUCUUUCUCUUUCAUAUUCUUGCUUUGUUUGUUCUGAUUCUUAGGUCGUACUGCUCAUGGUUCUGGCAUAUGAUUCUAGGAAAUGAAGGAAAUCAGGUAUGCAAUUCAGGAGGAAAAGGGCACUUUACAGACUCAGUUUGCAGAUAUAGAGAAGGUUAAUGCCAUCUUUAUGUUUGUUUCAUAGAAAUAGUACCUGUGCGAUGUGCUAUACUGAGCUAUUGCUGCCAGUCCUGAAUCUGCAAUGACUUGGCUUCUGUUGUAGAGCAACGAAGACACAAACCAAGCCCCGCAGCCUCGAGAACCAGCACAGGAGUUUGAUACCGAUGCUCAUAUGGAAAAACAAACUGCAAUGGAAGCAUGAAUUGGUGCUCCAUACAGACGGUUGGUUCCAUUCAAUGUAUUGCACGAAAAUGCUCCGUAACUAUAUGAAGUUGAGUUUUGGAAAAUACAUGUGCCAAACUCGAAUGCAUACUUGCAAGUUUCCUACUGCAUGUUUGUAUAUCAGUACCAGCAAACUGAAGUACUGUUGUACAAACAAAAACAUAUAUUUGCCGUAGUGAGAAUUGCUUGAGUUGUAACAAUUCCAUGUACUCUCUAUUAUUAAAAGAGCUCUGCAUAGCCAAGUUGUACACACGCACAUGCUCUGAAUCAUGUAGAUCUAGAUGGUUAAGUGCCAAACUGAGCUGAACAAUCCAUUUAUAAUCACUGUGCGUUCCGCACACAGCUGCGUUUCUGCUGAGAGACAACUUAUCAGAUCCACCAUUAUCAUGUAUGAGAAGCUGAGUACUUCAUCCUGGUAUUCAGUUCAGCUGGCACGACUUACACUGCCGCCCCAAAGAGCUUAAUUUGUUCGUGGUUUAACAUUUUGCUUUUUAUCCGUGUGAAGGCUCCCUACAAGUGCAGAAUACAGAGCAUCAUCUGGGGUCAAUCCAUCUCCCAGCAUAUUGUCGUACAACUGGAAUGCCUCCUCUGAUCUUCCUUCCUUGGCCAGGCCGGAUAUCAGAGCAGUAUAUGCCACCAAGUUGGGUUUAGACCCCCUCUGCUUCAUCUCUUCAAACAGCCUCAAUGCCACAUCCACCUUCCCAUUGACACAGUGCCCAUGGACUAACGCUGCAUAAGAGUAUAUGUCUGGAACAAGCCCUUUCUUUUCCAUCUCAUUUUUGAACCUCUCAGCCUCCCGUAUGCUCCCCUUCUUGAUGUACCCAUCCAUCAUAACAUUGUAGGUUACCAGACUAGGUUCUGCCCCAUUUCCUGCCAUCUCUCGAAACAGCCUUCUUGCCUCGACCAUGUCACCUUCAUUGCAAUGGAUGCUGAUCAACGUAGUGUAGCUUACAUGGUUUGGCCUGACACCCUUCUCAAUCAUGAUACGCAAUAGAUUCUUGGCCUCAUCCAUUCUAUUCGCCCUGCGGAGGCCACAUGCUAGUGUGUUGUAUGUAUACACAUCCAGCUCGAUGCCCAUCUUCUCCAUGAUCAUCUUUAUUUCAAGAGCCUUGUCCACCAUAUUUUUCCGACAAUACCCAUCAAUCAUUGUAUUGAAAACAAUUUGGUUAAUUCCCACCCCUCGAACUUGCAUAUCUGUCACCAACAUCUCUGCAGCCUCCAUCUGCCCAAUCUUGCAGAACCCAUUGAUCAAUGCUCCAUACGUAUGCUCGUUUGGCUCAAUGCCAUUCCCAACACAUUCAUCAAACACCUCCGAUGCCCUCCGCACAUUCCCUGCACGGCAGUAUGCGUUGAUGACUGAAGAAUAGAAGUAGACAUCCCCUGAGAGAUUCUUACUCUUCAUCUCUUCAAACACAGCCUCAACCUUGGUGAUAUCUCUGGCUGCCGAUAAACCAUCGACGAGGAUUGUAUAUGUCCCGACUGUUGGCUCAAUGCCUUCAUUUUCCAUUACCUUUAGCAUCUCUGCCACCCGAUCAUCAUCUUUUUCGCGCGUGUAUGCGUCUAGCAGCGAGUUAUAGCACAAGGCGUUAACCUUCACGCCGUGUCGAGGCAUUUCGUCGAGCAGCUGGCGGGCGUGGGCGACGCGGCCAGACUUGCAGUAUCCGUCGACGACGACAGACGCCGAGAGAGGCGUGACGGAGUCAGGACAAGAAGUGGCAGCCUGUUUGAGGAGGUCGGCGGCGGUGUCGAGGUGGCCUGCUCGCCGGAGCGAGAGGAGGGAGGAGGUGAGGGAGCGGGGGUCAAGCCCCCCGAGGCGGGAUACGGUUAGCUCGAAGGCCUCGGCGGCGCGAGCGGCGGCGCCCGAGUCCGCGUAGGCGCGGAAGAGCAUGUCGUAGAAGGCAGUGACGGCGUGCCGCGGCGCGGCGCGAGGGAGGGAGGCGGCGGCCAGGUCGGCGAAGGGGACGGCGAGCAGGCGGGGCGUGACGAGGGAGGCGAGUAGCGACUUAGCGGCCGCGAAGCGGCGCGCGGCGAGGAGCGAAACGAACCCCGCCAGCGGCGUGGCCGGUAACUUCGCCGGCGCCGCCGCCGCCGCCGGCGACUCGGAGUCGGACGCCAUCGGCGGGGGAGCGAGGUGGAGAGGGGAGAAGACGAGCGAGUCCAAAUGGGCUCGACCUGCUUGGUGUCCAAUGUUGCAGAUGCUUUUAUGGGCUUAAAAUCUCGGCCCAAUAAUAUAUUGACUGAAAUGUCAGCCCAUUAUCCCCAAGGCCCAUAAAGAGCAGGAGCCACCGGCCCACCUACAAACACAUACAUGCAAGAGGAAUUGGGCGGGCCUUUUUACAUACAAAUGUGCUUCGUUGCUAUAUGGGCGGGCCGUGUAUGGUGGAGCUUGAAGAAAACUGAAAAUGUAAAAUGUAAUAUUCGGUGCAAAUUUCUCAAUAUAUUACGUUACAUUAUCAGCCGAUGUAAACUGGAGAACAAUAUGUACCUCUAAUAUUUCCAAAUUGAUCAGCUUAUAUGAUUUUUACAGCAUUAGCUAAUUACCAUAUUAAAUAGCCUCCGUCCAUAUAUUCAUUCAUCACGUACUUCCUCUGUCAAAAAAAAAAUCGAUCUGUUGAGUUGGUUGAGUUCUUUUUUAGAUGGAAGGUGUACGUGGCAGACGGAACGACGAAGGGAAUGACAUGGGGCAUGGUGGUUGAGUCGAGAGAAGUUCACGAGCGGCUUGGGAACCGAAAAGGCGAGACAGGUUACGACGCGGUUGUGGCCCAUGGCGCCGGGGGGCGUAGUACGUACUCGUAUCUUGCCCAUACGGGCCACGGGCCGUCCGGCCCUGUCGCGUCGACGAGACACCAACGCAGCAGCAACAACAACAACACACGCAUGUGUGCACAGUGCUGCCUCUGCCUGUACACGACCACGUCGCACUACUCGGCUCUACUCAUCACGUAGUAGGAGGAGGAGUACGUGUACGUGCUCGCCCUCGUGCCUGCCCAUAUCGGGAACCCUCUACAUGACUAGAUGCGUGCUCCACAGACACACACGUGCACACAAUACAUACCGAUUUUGCUUAUUCGCUUAACACACCGACUUGUAAUAGUACUAUACUUACGUUACGUCCAAAAAAAAUAAAAACUUUAUUUGUUUUUGGCAUAAUUUCACUUAUCCUAUAAAGACUCCAUCACAAUUAGUACUCCAUCCGAUUCAGAUUCUAACACUUUCUAACAUUAUUCAUAUUCAUUUAGAAGUUAAUGAAUCUAAAAAAAUAUAUAUGCCUAGAUUCAUUAACAUCUAUAUGACAAUGCUAGAAAGUCUUACAUUGUAAAACGGAGGAAGUAGUAACUAGGUGAUACCCCGCGCUUUGCUGCGGGAUUUAUGGAUGGGUAUAUGUUAAAUAUUGUCGAAAUGCUGAGAGUUGAAAUGUUAAGAAAAUAAUGUGAAGAAAAUGAUUUGGCACAUGCUUGUUGAUGAUGUGUCAUGUUUGCAUGGGAUUUAAAAUAGGCUAGAACAGUAAUUAUUGCUAGCGAGUGAAGAUGUGGUAUGCUUGUAUGGGAUUUUAAAUAGGCUAGAAUAGUAAUUGCUAGUGGGUGAUGAUGUGGCAUACUUGUAUGUUGAGCUUUAGCUUCUAAUAAUUGUUAGUGAGUACCAACUAUAUAGAAAAGUAUAGAUAUAUUGGAAUUCGAGGAAGUGACGAUAAAUAUAUUAAAGUUUGCAAAUUAAAACAGAUGAUAGCUUUGUGUUGGUACUAUACAUGUGAUAUACUAUAGAAGUAGUAGUGUUAGUUAUCUCCAUUCUAAAAUAUAAGGUUAGUUUGGUUUGUAGCUUAAAUAGGCCUUACUAAAUUUUGUCAAUGCCAUUUUUUGGCAAGUUUUGGUAUGACUAAUUUUUGUAAGGUAAAGUUGUGUUUGUAUUGAAGCCAAAAUAGCCUAAGUUCACUAUUGAAAUUGUAUAUUUUCUUAUUUUCUUAGGUAUGUCAAAAUUUGUCUUCAAACCAAAUAGACACUAAACACUAUUAAAAUUAUCAAAUAUUGGUAAGUCUAAUUUAGGCCUCAAACCAAUCCAGCCCAUAGUCAACUCCGACAUAAUAAUUUGUUUCAAAGUAAAAGUAUUUUUUUUACCUGUCAUUCUUAACCAAUAAUAACAUUCCUCCAAACGUUUUAAGAAAGCUUAAUACCAGCACAGUGUGGCGGCCGCAUGCUAGGCGGCGGCGAGGGUAUUCUGUCUGCAUUACAACGGCGGAUUGCGGCGUCGGUGGAGUAGUGAUACUGUUACUGUGUGAUCAUGCAAGGGAAACACCUGUGUCACUCAACUGUGUGUGGGGGUUAACAAACUUGGAGCCAAGCCAAGCAAGCAGGACGGUUGUGGCGCCGGCCAGCUGCCUUUCUGCAGGCAGAAUUUAUAAUCGGAGACACUGCUUUUGAUGGAGAAAGCUCAGCACACUUACCGCGGCAGCUACUACUCCAUAGACAUAGAGCCGGGUAGGCUGCCUGAUGAUCAAUGUUUUUCUAUCACUGCCAGGGUUAACAAAACCACGCGUUUAUUAGCCCUAUCAUUUGGCUUGUAUGUAAAAUAAAUCAAACGGUAUAUUUGUAAAUGAAAAAUAAUUUGUAAAUAAACUUUUAUAUACGUGUUAUUAGCGAUCUAAAAACAAAGGCUAAAAAAAUUAACUUCGAUAAAAAAAACCUUAAAAUCGGCUUCAAAUUUAAGGUUAAAAAUUUAAAUUUAAGAUAACCCCACCCAAAACGGUUUGAUAAACCCUGAAUAAAUCACGAUUUACCUUUUUCGAUUUCGAAGUAAAAAAUUGCUCUAACCGGUUUAUUAAAAUCCGACCGAAAACCAAUAAAAACCGACAAAUUUGAUCAACACCAUAUAUUAACUGGCUAAUACUGGCCGGUUUCACAAAAUUUCAUCGGUUUUAUGAACCUGACCCUGAUUACUCUUACACAGUAUAUGCACACACAAGAAGAGGAUAUGGAGAAAAGAAGGGAAAGAAGAAAAAGAAGGAUAUGGAGGAGUAUCUGAUCAGGCCAUCGAUCAUCGGGGUGUGGCCUGGCGAUGCAACUUUUGCCCUUUCUUGCAAUUGCAUAUUCGUCGUCCUUGGAACAUCAGAUCCAUCGAUUUGAUCCCAUUACGGUCUGUGAACAGUCCCCUGAAUGAGUGAAUCCCGAACUGCUUUUCGUUUUUCCAUCUUCACCAUACUAUACUGUUGCUGCUUUUCGUUCCAUCUUCAUCUUCAAGAGAGUGAAGCAUUAGAUAUAUCUGCGUUCUUUUCUCGCUCGCUUGCAAAACCGCUAAACAAUAUUCUUUUUUAAAAGAAACCAUAAACAAACUAUGUUAAAGUUUAAAAUAAUUAAUUACACUAAUGACGAAUCCCGUUUUGCAUAUCUUCGUAAUUUACUCUUUGUCCUUAUCUCAAACACACUCAAAUUUAGGAGUGCAACAUCAGUAUAUUCAGGACAGAAACACAAAAGUGGCCAGUGGAUGAUGUGGUUGCUGCUUGCUCAGCGAGCAUGAUCUAACCAUAACUGCGUCAUGACAGAUGAUAUUUUAGGCAGGACACAGGAGAGAGCUUAAAUUUGCGAAAACCCAACUGUUUACAGCUAAAACGUCAGGUUUUCCAGCCGAUCAAAGUAGACAAGAUAAGAGCUAGGCAACAAUGCGCACUAUUUCAGGCUUGCAGCUAGCAUCGGGCAAGGUAAACAACAACAACAACAACAACAAAAAGGAAGAAAAACCGAGCAAUUAACGAGGAAACUAAUCAAACACGCUCUAAAUCCUAGCUUGAUUAAGCAUGUGUGAAGUCUCCGGGAUCGAAUAAACCGCGAGCCAUGUGCCUGUCCGUACCUCGAACUGCUCAAAGACUGCACCUCGAGCUGCACUGCACCGCGAGAGGAGAUCCAUCCAUGGCGCCCCAAUGCCAUGGUGGUGUUAAAUUCCGGCGCGAGAGCAUCUCGGCCUCGCCGCCGCGCGCGGCCCACGUGGCGGUACAUGUAGCCGGGCGUACGGCGGGUGGGGCCCACGCCGGCGAGGUAAUAAUAUGUUUAUACGGCGGCAAGGACGCGGCCAGCAGCUUUUUCUUUGGACAAGGAAUAAUUACAACCCUGACAGAGAUGUUUAUUUUAGGAGCAGAGCUCUUUCAUUGAGCUUGUUUAGCGAAUUUAACAUUCUAAAAAGCAUCUGACUGAAAACCAUCUGAAAAAGCUAGGUUUUUCAGCAUUUGAUUUUUAGUUUAUUUUCUAGAUUCUAUAACUAUAGCUUCUCAUAAUUCAUAUUAAAAGCUAGACUGUUUAGAGGAGCUUCUGAUUCUGGAAGAAGCUACAGCAGUUAUAAGCUCCCAAACAGACCAAUUGUCUCUCUUCAAGGGUCUUCUUCGGAGUGAAGUAGAGGCUGAGUUCUAAGUACAAUUUAAAAUGACAAUUUUAUCGUUUUCGUUUACACCCUUCCUAAAUUAUUAAACAUUAUGUUUUGUAUAAAAAAUUAUAUAUACAUACAUAUAUAUAUAAUAUUUAUAUUAAGGAAAUAAAAUUAUUUUAAAAAAUUAUAAUAGCUAAUAUUUAAUUAAUCAUCUAGAACUUCUUUUUCGAGCCGCCAACAACUCUAGUUGAAACUUAGUUUCAAACUUGGCCUAGUCCUUGUUUGCGGAGUUCUUUUUUUUAUUACAUGACAAUGCACACACCAUUACACACGCAAUACUACAUUUACACUCUCGUCAAUACGUCCCUUGAUACAUGUCUCUAAAGAUACAGAAGCCAACGGCACAUCCUUGAUUACACUAAAUCUAUAGGUGGUGUUUGAAUCUCCUGAAGAUAAAGAUAAAGAUUAAGUGUUUCGCGUAAAACGAGAUGAUAAUAACGUGUGAUUAAUUGAGUUUUAAUUAUUACAAACUUGAAAAUGGAUUAAUCUGAUAUUUUAGAACAACUUUCACAUAGAAAGUUUUCGCACGCAACACACAGUUUAAUAGUUUGAAAAACGUGCCACGAGUAUCCAAAAGUUUAUCCAACUUUUGUUUACAGAGUUUCUAGCUACAACUUCUUUCAUAAUUUUCAGGACUUCACAUAUUAUAUUUACAAAAUAAACUAUAAAGAAGAUGAAAAACUAAAACCUAGUUUUAUUUUAGAUUAUCAAAAGCUAUCAACCAACUACUUCUCGAAAUCCUUAUAUCUCUAAACAAGGCUAUAUAGUACUAGAUGAUGUUAUUUUCAGAUUAAGAUACUUAUUUUAUCUCAAUUCCUGUUAGCACGUUUUUUAAACCGUUAAAUAGUGUGUUUCGUGUAAAAACUUUAUAUAUAAAAGUUGUUUUAAAAUAUAAAAAUAAAUCCAUUUUCUAAAUUUAUACGCUAAAUAUAAAAAUAAAUCCAUUUUCUAAAUUUAUACGCUAACAAAUCUUUUAUUUUACGUGUCCUAACUUUAUUUUUAUUACUAGAAAAAAGCAGUACUCGCAUCUGACUCUACCUGUCAUAAACAUAUCUGGUGGGCCAUCGCCUUUGAUGGAGAUUGGAGAAUUGUACCUUACCCUGCUGUUAGAUUGACAGCCUUGGCCGAGCACAAUUUACUAACCCUGCAGGGAGGUUGGUAGCUAGGUCUCCAGAUUUAUUGCUGCACUUUGCUCCAUCAACUUAAACCCAACCUCCAACAUUUACUUGCUCAAACUACCGUUUACGCACUUAAGUAAUGAACCUUAUAUAGGAGUAGUUCAAUGGAGAUGUAUGCAGCAGUACAGACAAUACAUUUUGGUUCCAAACUGAAUGACAAGAGAAAUGCCAACGAUUGGCAUUGCCAACAAUUGAUGGUAGGAAGGUCCCGGAUCGAGCACGUACAGCAGUUACUACACUGAUACUGCUAUACCAAUUUUCGCCGUGCAGAUAGUGAAGGAGCUUGCAGUAUUACACUCGUGGUCGCAGUAUUCAGUAAAUACGUAGUGCAGUACAUUAUCCUUUUUCCAUUUCGCGCCUUCGGCGACGUCGCAUGAAUAAUCUUUAGCCUCGUUAGUUACAGUAGCCAAAAAAUAACCGAGACCAUUUUUUCACUCCGAAAUUCGAUCAGGCCUUUUUCACUUACUAAAAUUAAUUAGGUAAAUUAAGUUGGUUAUCAUUCUCGAUUGACCGAAAUGAUAGAAUUUAGCCGAAAUUAGGAAAGAAGCCCAAGUAGCUACUAUCUUGGUUAAGUUGGAAGAUAGAUCACUGCUAUGAUUGAUGCUAGCUAUCUUGAUGAAUUGGUAUGUUAUACGUCGUUGGUCGUUAUCUUGUGCUACAAUUGUCAAAGAAUCCUAGCUAAAAGAGCUAGAAAGGGCUGAGAAAAUCUUGCUCUAUAAUUUAUUUGAUUUUUUGUCUCUUGAAACCGUCGCAUAGUAGUAUUUCAGGACCGGACAGAGCUAAUCAAAACCGAUCGAAUUGUUCGAUUAGAUGACAAAAUUUUCUCAAACACCGAAAGACCGAACCGAGAGUUUUUUGCUUGAAUGCAUACUAAUAUGUACUCACAUGCACGAACAUGCCACGGAUGCUCUGUUGAUAUGCCAUGAAUGAAUUGUAUCUCCAACGGGAGACGUGUCUGACAGCAGCAGUGCAGUACAUUUCACCUGUCUAGCUAACUGUAUAUACGUCGUUGGUGCGUACACACAUACUGUACUUGUACGUCCUGACCCAGCUAUAACCACAGUACUAAUAUGCGACCACUGAUAUUCUGAAUUCUGAUACGUAUCUUCUGGUCGACCCUACGGCGUAUUUAAGUAGUAUAAUGUACGUACGUCACGUGGAAGUAACUGUAGGCCAAUCGUAUAGUAACGCCCAGUACGUAUGUACUGGGGUACAGUAGUUUUCGAGUGUUCCGAAACCUGAAUAUAUAAUGUCUGAAGAAACUACUGCAAACAUGCAACCAUCAUCGGUUCUGGACAUUUUAUCUGAAUACUACUCAUAUCUGUCACAUUUUGUUCUCUGAAAUUAACCUGAAUAUCUGAAUUCUAGUUUUCUACCCGGGGAGUCAGUCGCAGAAUGGACAUUUCAUCAGAUGAGGCUGCUACAAUAAUAAGCAACUUAAUUACUCUUAACUAUACUCUGUAAUUAGCGGGUACUACAGCUGCAGCACAAGUGAAAAUGACACCACUAGAGGAGCUAUAGUUACCUGCUCUGAAAACAACGUACGUGCAUGUGGUGCUCCAUAAUGAGAGACACCCUUUUGUUUUGAAUGCUGCUGCUGUUAAGUUGUUGCUGAAUGUAAUGGCCCUGUCUGACUCAUUCACCAAACCCCUGAAUUACGAGGUCUUGAUUGCACCACUAAAACAAAAGAGAUCGAUCGCCAGAAUUGCAUGCACACACUUGCACAGAUUAAUGGAGAUCCUUAUCAAAGAUCACAUGAUAAUCUUCACCUAAAACAUUUAGGCCAGGAUAAUCAGGAAAAAAAGCUAGUACUAGCCAGAACUGAUCAUCAGGGAGCACUAAGCUUCAAUCUGCCAUCAUCAUGGAUAUGAUCAUUGCGUACAAAUAUAUUUAUGUGGUUCUGAUGUCACCAUCCUGGGUCCUUCAAGGAUUGACGUGUACAGGGUACCAGUAGACCUGGGCCCACAGGUCAGUGACACGCUGGCACUUUGCAAAUAGCACCCUCAACUAGUACAGUGCUACACUUGUUGGCCAUUAUAAAGCUCAGCUUCCCUAAGCAACACACCCCCUCCUGGCUUAGCUUCCCUUCUCACUCGCACGCGCCGCCGCCACAGAGCUCAGCUUAGCUCGAAGCUACUCCGUCUCGAGGUAGCUAGCUAGCUAAGCCUUCAUCCAUGGCGUCAGGAGAAGCAGAGCCACUGCAGUACACGGUGAGCCUUGAUCUGAAUGAAAUCAAUGCCUCCAUUGGAGGCUAGAGCUUAGCUCUAAUGCUCGAUCUUUGCGAAGACGACGACGACGCCAUUGUUGUUGUUUUGCUGACGUCUUGCUGUUCUUGUUGGUGCAGACCACCGUGCUCCGAGUGUCGAUCCACUGCGAGGGUUGCAAGAAGAAGGUCAAGAAGGUGCUCCAGAACAUCGAAGGUAUGUGUAGUUUUCGCAGGUUUGAUUGAGAUUUGAUCGAUUUCUUGGUGAUUGAUUGGUUUUCCGGUGAUGCGCAGGCGUGUACAAGGUGACAAUCGACGCGGCGCAGCACAAGGUGACGGUGACGAGCAGCGUCGGCGCCGACGUGCUCGUCAGGCGGCUGCACAAGUCAGGGAAGCACGCCACGGUGUGGCCGUCGCCGCCGGUCGCCGCCGCGGCGAAGCAGAAGCCCGACGAGGUCGCCGCCGCGCCGCCACCAGCUGCUGCUCCGGCGCCGGCCGGGGAGCGCGGGAAGGGCGCGGAGAAGAAGGCGAAGGAGGCGGCGAAGGAAGCUGGGACUGAGAGCUCGGAGAAGAAGCCGGAGAAGGAGAAGAAAGCCGAGGCGAAGAAGCCGGCCAAGGACGACGCCGCCAAGAAGGAGGGCGAGGUGCCCGAGAAGGAGAAGGGCUCGCCUGAGCCUAACAAAGAAUCGGCCGCCGCCGCCGCCGACGAGGAGGAGGGCGGGGAGGAGUCCGGCGGGAAGAAGGGCAAGAAGAAGAAGAACAAGCAGAAGGACGGCGGCGGCGAGGCGGACGCCGCGGCGCCGGAGAAGCCAGCUGCCAAGGCGCCACCGGCCGCACCCGCGCCGUCGAUGCCCGCUCCGGCGCCAACGCUGUCGUCGCCGGAGCGCCCUCACGGCGGGUUCCCGUACUACUCGCCGCAGCCGGUGAUGAGCUACAAUGUGGCGCACCCGAGCGCGAGCGUGUCCUCGUACUACGCGCCCACGCCGGUAAUGUCCAUGCAGCCGACGCCCAUGCCGCCGCCGCCGCAGAUGUCGUACGGCUACUCGCCGUACCCGCCCAUGAUGAUGCCGCCGCCGCCGCCGCCGGAGUACCUGUACGGCCCGCCGGGCAUGCGGUCGUCGCCGCCGCAGGAGUCUUACAGCAACAUGUUCAACGAGGAGAACCCGAGCUCGUGUAGCGUCAUGUAAUGCCGCCGCCGGCGACGAUCGCCGGCGCCGGACACGGGACCGAUCGAGCUGUAGUUGACGGGGAGGCUUCUCAAUAGAAGCCUCUCCUCUCGUGUGGUUGCUAGCUAGAGUGGAGUACUGUUAAUUAGAUGGUCAAACCUCUUCUUGACCAGACUUUUUUUUCUCUUCCCAUUUUAAAAUGCUCUUAGUGCAUCAUGUAAUGAGAUGAGUAUUUUAGUACCCUUAAUAUCUUCUUUUGUUAAUUAACUUGUUUGGUUGUUUAUUAUUUUCUAAAUGAUGGGCCCUUCUGAAAAGUAGAAUUUAUGAAAACCUUGUAAAAUGCAUGAUUUUUUUAAUGAAUUUGUAGGUAUCUAAUUCAUUACACAAACAAAAUAAACCAGAUAUUUUGAAUUUGAGCAGUGAUGUGAUGUUACCUACCACUUCGAAUUGUGAGGCAAGUGGAGGCACAUUUGGCGCCAAGAAGAGUCUUUGGCCAGGCUAGUUAAGCUGGCGUCCUGUUGGCUCACAGGCUUUUGUUUAUGAGAUGAUUACUCUGCAAAUUAAACAAAGGGCCAGAGUUGUCCACAUGUAAUGCAAUGAUUCUUGCGUUGUUCUGUGAUACGCUCCUUGAUUUGAUUAUUUUGGGGAAAGCAUAAUGGAAGGGUAGUGGACAAAUCAGCAAGGGCAUGAGACUAUGAGAGUGGACAUGGACUUGUUUGUUUUUCUUAAUUAUGAAUGGAGUUGUUUAAAUUAGCAUUUACCAGUGGUACUCUUGAUAGUAUUUCGUUUAACCAAUGCGCCACUUGUUUGAUUGAUAUAGUUAGUGUUUAGGGAUACGAUAGUCUCGGUUUGUUUAGGGGUCGAUUGUUGGCCAGCCAUAUACAGUUUACCACUUCUAAAGUUAAGUUAGACAAAUUUAUUUAACUGAGACAGUUGUUCAGUUACUUAUGAUAAGAUUCUCGUAUCCGCCAUGUUUUAAUGAUUUAGAAAAAUAUGGAAAUAUUCUUUUAGACCUGCUGGACAAAUAUUUUGAACACUUAAUCUUGAGGAUGUUUGGUUUCUUUUGUUGGCAAGUGUUAGCAAACUGUGACUGACAACGCACAGACCUAUUGUUUCGCCUAUAGCCGAUUAUAAGCCCUAAUGCUUAUUAGCGAAAAAUAAUUUAUAAAUAAAACUUUCACACACAUAUAUUCUUAAUCACUUAAAAUCUAAUGUAAGUAAAAGUAAUUAAUAAUAUUAAGAUCAACACUAAAAGUAAUUUUAAAAUUUAAAUUUUGGUUACAGUUAAUAAUUAAGCUAGAGAGCAAACAAUAUAUCAUAAUUUUCAUUACAGAAGGUAGCAAUUAAAAACUAAAAAUAUGUUUGGCAGUUUGAGUUGGGAGCAAAUCCCUCGUGCACCUUUUUGAGCAACUCAUUAAUACGUGAUUAAAAAUAGAUUAAUAUGGUUUAUAAAACAAUUUUUUUAUAUAUGUAUUUUCAAAAAAAAAGUCUGUUUAAUAAUUUAAGAAGCGUGGACGUAAAAAAAAAGAGAAAGAAGAGACGGCAACAUUAACAACCCAACACAGCUGUUGGUCAAAGUUGUGUUGUGACCAAAAGGAGCACAGAGACUGUUCAUCUGUAGUAUAGUAGGUAGUCGUACAAGGCAGGGAGUAUAUAUGCGAGGUUUAAUUUGUUGUGUACACCCCAUGGAAACAGUGAGAACGGAUGGCAGCAUCUCCAUCCACGGGACGGAGAGCAAAAUUGCUGGUAGGAUUCAUGGCACCGACACGCAAAUGUGGCUGUAAAACCCGGUGUUUCCGGGCAAAACAUUUUUUUGAAAGGUGACCAUACGACGUUGCAACGAGGACUGGUCUGGUGUGAGGACUGGACUGCCCGUGUCAGUUCCCGGGUACGCACGUCCACAUGCCGUGUCGAUCCCCCAAACCAGCAACGGAUUAAUUCGGUGGAAAGCCCCCGUUAAUUUUAUCUUGGUUUUCCUCAAACAACUACAAAUAUCCGGCACAGCCAAUAACAACAGUGUUGCAAGCAUCAGUGUAACAUACGGCUGCUGCUGAAGCUACAAGCCGACCUUCUGAACACACCCAUUUACUACUCCCUUAGUUGCUAAAUCUUUACAGUUGAAACUAUUGACAUUUUAAAUUUAACCACUUGUCUUUUAACAAAAAAAACAAAUACUAUUAAAAAAAUAUUGUAUUUAUUAAAAAUUAGAGGAAAUUGGUGAGUAAAAUCGAAACAGUAAUAGUCAAUAGAGAAUAUUCUAUCCACUAUAAAAUAUAAAUACUUCUAACAUUUCAAAAUCAUACCAUGAAAAUAUAUGCACCUCCAAUCUAUUCAGAUUACCGUUCUUCCCAAGUUCCAAUCAUCUGCUAGCACCAUUCAAAUUUCUUUAGUAUCUUAUCCUCAAUCAUCGAUCCCUCAUUUACUAAGCGACAUCAAAGUCUUUCCUCUUAAAAAAAUAUCCUCUGUUAAGUAAUCCUAAAAUUACUUAUAUUUUAAUACAGAUAAAAUACGUAUUUAGGAAUGGAGCGAGUAAAAUUAACGGUGAGGCAGUGACAAUGCCAGUGUGUGCGUGCGCGUGCACUGUGCUGCAUGUAUUGUGGCACGAGACGAGCCGCGGCGACGGCGACGGCGAGGCUAGCGGAAUCUAGCUGCGGCUGCCUGCCUGCCACUACUGCCAAGUGCCGACGCGAGUAAAGUCUCCCGCUGUUUGACCGCGGCUUGAGCAUCCUGCAUAUCGCCUCGCCGGCCGCCGCCGUCGAAAUCCCACAGAAAAUCGACCCAUUUUCUCGUUGGAACCAACCAAAGAUUUCGCGGUCGCGUUGCAACCCCAGAGGGAGGACGCGCGUAGUACUAGUACUACUCUCUCCGUAAAAAAAAAAAAAAAAAGCUAGGAAAUUAAAGACGUACCUCCAAAUAUUUUUUAAGAAGAAAUUACGAGCCUCCGCAUCAUUGAAAAAAGAAGAGAUUUAGAAGGAAAGACGUGCCUUCAAAUAUUUUUUAAGAAAAAAUUAUGAGCCUCAAAAUAUUUUAAGAAGAAAAGAAAAAAAAGAAGAAAAAAGAAGAGAUUUAGAAGGAAAGACGUACCUCCAAAUAUUUUUUAAGAAAAAAUUAUGAGCCUCAAAAUAUAUUUUGAGAAAAAAUUUUAAGCGUAUUGGAGAUUGAAAAAACCAAACACCCCUUACUACUACACUAUUAGGUGCAUCUCUCCUAGCUAUCUGUAUUGUUCAUUUUCCUAUUUAUCCCAAAAUAAAUUUAUUUUUAAAAUAAUUAUUAUGUUGAUGUGAAAAUAUGGAAUAAAUGUACCGAGAGUAUAUAAAGUAAGAAAUAAUUAUAUUGGGAUUCGAUGAAAUGAUGAUAUUAUGAUCUUUUUAGGUUUUAUAUUGGAUGAAAAAGAGCUUAUUUUAGCACUGAAGGAAAAUUGAAGGUUCCAGGCAGCAGAGCUGUGCAUCUUGAAUGGCCAUCUCAUCUCAUCUCUCCUGGGUGUGUGUAGAUUUUGUUCUCUAGUGUAUGGUUCUUUCUUCCGGAGAAACGCAGGUGAAUGACUGAAUGCUCCUGCUCCAAGCUCAGGCUGCUGCACCAACAGCAAAUGUAUGAAUUGAAGCGAGAUCUACUCGUGUUCAAAGUGUGUUACGACUAGCAGUACCACUACCACUACUACUCAUGUCAUGGCUCUGCUGCAUCUCAUCUUUGCGAUUGCGACGACAAACCCUGCCAGAGCUGAUGCACUCGCUGGGGUAAAUUCAAUGGCAAUGCCAGAGCCUUGACAGGAUGCAUAAAUGCCAUUUUGCAUUUUUGCAACCAAAACAAAUUAAAAGUUGGGGGCAGUAGCAAUGGUACGCUAACACUAUGCUCAUUGAAUCUGAGCACUUCCAACAAAUUAUUAAAAGUCUUCUGCUCCUAGCUGGUGUCUAACUCCAGCAUGUACUAGGAGCGUAUAUAUACUCCCUCCGUCCCCCCGAAAAAAAAAAAAAAGACAAACCCUAGUUUCCGUGUCUAACAUUUGACCGUUCAUCUUAUUUGAAAAAUUAUGAAAAAAAAUUAAAAAAACAAGUUACGCAUAAAAUUUAAUCAUGUUUUAUCAUCUAAACAAUAAAAAUACGAAUUAUAAAAAAAUUUUAUAUAAGACGGACAGUUAAAGUUGGACACAGAAACCCAGGGUUUGGUUUUUUUUUUUUUUUUUUGAGGGAGUGAGUACAUGUGCAACGCUGAGAUGUCAGGAUCCCUUGCACUUAAGCUGACAUGUGAGAAGCUUCAUUCAACACAGGAGUAUAUAGUAGUAUUUUUAUUUUUCUUGUUGGGCCAUUUCUAGUUUUCCUUCCGUCUAAUCUGUAGAGUACUCCUUCUGUCCAACUAAAGAGUGUAUUUGAGAGGAGAGAAUGGGAGAAGAUUGAUGAGUCAUUAAGACCUGAUUAAUUGAGUAUAUUUUAAAUUUAGAAAACAUAUUAAUAUUUUUUAAAACAAUUUUUUCAUAGAUUUUUUUUUCAAAAAACAUACCGCUUAGCAAUUUAGGAAGCGAGCAUGCGAAAAAUUAGAUACUUUUUUUUUGCUUGUAAAGAACUCGGCCAAGAAUAUAAUUCUAGGAUUCAAAAGGUAAAUUAGUAGGAAAGGUAAAAGACUUUAGGCUUGCAACUUUUCGUAUCAUUUAUCAGAUUAUAGGACCGGGUUAUUAGCCCCACGCUUUAAAAAUACAUUUAAAAAAAGAUUCUUCUAUUAUAUUGUUGUGACCACUUGUUUUUUAAGUUAUUUGUUAAGUUUAUUUAUAAAAAUAUUUACUUUAUCGUUAUAAUUAAGUAGAUAAUUCGCAGCAACAAUCUACUUAAUUAAUAGUACUCCCUCCGUCUAAUAAUAUAAGGGAUUUUGAGUUUUUGCUUAUACUGUUUGACCACUCGUCUUAUUCAAAAAAAUUUAGAAUUAUUAUUUAUUGUUUUUGUGACUUACUUUAUUAUCCAAAGUACUUUAAGCACAACUUUUCGUUUUUUAUAUUUGCACAAAUUUUUUGAAUAAGACGAGUGGUCAAACAGUGCAAACAAAAACUCAAAAUUCCUUAUAUUAUGGGAUGGAGGAAGUAAUAUGUUUCAACUGUGCCUGAGAUACUCCUCGUUAAAUGAGGGAUGGUUUUUUUAAGUGUAAGGAUAGUUUGGUGAGAUGAGAAAUGAUUCGUGAGACAAGUAGUAUUGUACUGUUUGUGGGACAAAUUUGAAUUUUAGAAUUGGAUUCUGUGUUAGACCCAGCCUACUAUAUAUCCUGUUCUGUGACAUGCUUUGUUUCAUCCACAGUUUAUGCAUGUAACUGAGGGUCCUUGUGCGUAGGUUUAGAAAUGGUGCUAAUCAUGUUACGGGUGACCAGAGGAGAUUCAGUUAGAUGCCAACAAGAUAACGCUGAAACAAAAUAGAUCGAUGAUCUAACAUGUAGCAAAUGGUAUUGUGACAAAAUAGAUGGUCUUUUGGAGCUGAGUGACACUGGUUUCCUGUGCAUCACAAAGCAGCUGAUGAUGCAACCUAUUGCCAUAAGCACGGUUUGACCGAUGAACAUGCUUGAUCGCUUUGUUAUUGGUCUCAGUACGAUUGAGGCAGAUCGAAUCUGACUAUCUGAGUUACUCACAUGUGCUUGAAUUGCUUGAUGGAAAGCUGUGCUAAAAUGCAAUGGAGUAGCCCAACUAAUGCGGCAGCCUUUUGAUAAUCUAGAUAAAGCAAUUCGAUCACAUCGGAAUUAUAUAUAUAGUACCAAACGCAAAUGUUCAGCUACAGAGAAAAGGUUAUGUGUGUUUGCCUUUCUGAAAAAAAACUUUGGAUGUUGCCAGAAUUAUUAUCAUUAUCUCCGUGGUUUAUAAAGCAAAAGGACUGAAAUAAUUAAUCCACCACAAAAUAAUUGGAUGUUCCUGUCACGACAAAAAUGGUGUAUUAUUCCAAACCUGUUCUACUUUCUGGACACGAAUACACAUCCCUGUCUCCCCAACAUGCAUACGAGCAUAUCCCGUGAUUUCUUUGGCUGGAUGCAUACAUGCAUGCACCAAUGAACUUUCAGUACAGAUACUCAUGGCACAUUCUUUGUGAUCUUUAAACAAUUAUUAAAGUAAUUGAUCACAAGACUUUCAAGAUAAUUGAAACUUUUUUAUUGAUCUCAAUAAAAUAUAUCAAGAUGAUACAAUUACACCAAGAAUACUUUUGGCAUCUGCAUAAUGAAUGUUUUCUUUUUUUUUUUGUUAAUGUUUCUCAUUUUAUUAAGUACUCCCUCUGUCCAAAAAUAUAAGAAUCUAUUACCGGAAGGGAUAUUUUCUUGUACAACAAAUCUGGAUAGGUUGCAUGUGCAGAUUCUUUGUAAUCCGAUUCUAGGUUCUUAUAUUUUGGAACGGAGAUAAAAACAUCUCUUGCAUUUCUUUUUGUUUUACAGGCCUUUUCUACUACGUGAAUAUUUGCACAUGCAUGUGCAGUGCAAUGAUCAGAGCAUGUACCACCUGAAAGAUUUGAGCACUCAACUCGAGAGCAAAUUCCAGAAGAGGCAUGCACUGGUGAUGGUGAUGACUUUACACUGAGAAAAAAAAAAGGGGGGCCGCAAAGCUGACAUGAAGCUGUGUAGUGUAGGCUGUGUGAUAGCAAAACUCUUUUUAGGUCACCAGCGACGGCAAGCAGGCAUAGGUCCAUCUGAAAAGGAGCCCUUUGCAUUGCAUUGUUGGGUCCAUUCAGAUACAUAGCAAUACUACUAGUAUAUGUAUUGUCAUGACUGAUCACUCUUGUGAAGUUGUGAUGUAUCUUUCGAUCGGCCAUUCCUCAAGUCUUAGCUUAGAAGUAAUUAACCUAGCAUGAAUGCCAUCACUCUCAUGAUUGAAAGCUCAUUGCUUUCACAAAACCAAACUUUACAUGCUUUAUGCUAACUUGCUAGUAUAUCCCUUGUGUAAACCAGGUCAACCAAACACACCCUAUUCUUCAAGAGCGAAUGUUCAUGUACAUUGUAGGCCGUCGAUCGGUUGCACGUGAGUCAGACGAUUGGAUUGUAUACAUAGCAAUUUCUGUUCUCUAAUAAAUAUACAACAACAGUUGAAACUAAAGAAAAUACUUCCUCCGAUCCUAAAUAUAAGCAUUUUUCUUGUUUACUCAGAUAUAUAGCCAAAAAUAGUUAUCUUUGGGAAAGGAGGUAGCAGACUCAUCAAGAAUUGAACUGUUUUCAGUGAAACUCACAUGAAAAUGGCUUGUCCUAGACAAAGAUUUACAGGUAGGAAGCUCGUAGAAAAAGAAACAUUCGGUUAAAAAAAAUUCAUGGGUUCCAGAAGAGAUUAGGUUAGGUAAAAGUAGAGAGUGGUGGCACCCGUGCACAACCUAAUCAUCCACUGAAGACAUCGAUCGACACGUAGAAUAGAAUAUGCGUGCACGGCUUAACCAAGACGUUAACAUCAGACGGGUGCAAAGAGCAGGGGAUCAAACCGGCAGAGGGCUUCAGCCAGGUAAGCCGUGUCUGCAUGCAAAAACACACAGACAUUGGGCCUACAGGCACUCCAUGACACACUGCCAUGGCAUCGUCUUCUUCCUAAUCCCCUGCUAAGUUGUUGAGUACACUUAACCAGCAAGCACAAAAAUCAUGUUUCCAGCAGCAGAAUCAGCAGGCUCUGCACGCAUGGUAGUAUCUGCCUAUCAUGCAUAUGCGUCCAUAGUUGUACUAUGGACUACUAGGGAGUACAGGAACUGAUGGGCAGUGUAGCAUGCAGAAAAGGCUUCAGAGAAUUGGAUUUUAAUUUUUAGGAAAUGGAAGAUGCAGUUGUUACUGUACACUAGAGUACUAUACUGCACUGGUAAAUACCAGAUCAGAGCAUCAGUAUUCCAGUAGCUAAAAGAGACCAAGAGUGGAAUAUUUGCUGCUGCAGCAUAUAUAGGAACAAAAGUAUACAUCAUUCAGUUAAGUGUUCAGUCAUCCAUGAGACUACAGAGGGGAGCAGCAAACUUCUUUAGCAGCAACAGCACAUAUCAUUCUCAUUUGGGUAUGUUGGCCCCUGAAUAUUCAGUAAUUAAAACCCAAAUGAAAAUCUAAAAGUUGGCAACAUUUAUACCCACUUAUCUAGGCAGCAGGCUGAUCUGACUAGAUUGGAAAUGAAGCUCCUAAAGCCUGCAGCCAUCUAAAAUAAGAACUUCAUUAUUUAAGCUAGUAGUACAUUAUUAUUAUUAUUAUUUCCACUAUAUCUCAGACUAUUAAUUUCGGUUAAUUGUAGUAAGAUUGCAUAUCAAGCAAGCACAGAAGCAUACUUGCUUAUUUACCAAAGUUUUACAUGCCGCAUUCAGGAUCCUGUGGACUGAAAAAGCAGGCAAUGACCUUGGAGUUCAGCAGCUUCAGUGCAAGGCUAGAUUCGAUGCAUCUGGGUGUCUUGUACUGGUUAAUGGAGCUGCCAUGGCUAACCAAUAGAUCCAUCAGAGCAUCAAAUGCACCAGCUUCAACAAGCCGUAUCUCCAGAGGCCCUAUGGACCUGUCAUGGGCUCUGCAACGACGGUAGACGUAGUCCAGUGACUCCUCGACAGCAGCACAGCAGCUCUCGAGGAGCUGAGCGUCAAGAGGGGCCGGCCUUUCAUCGUGGGUGGACUUGAUCUCCCAGAACAGCACGUAGUGGCCAGGGACAGUGGAAAUAUCAGUGUAGCUAGUGUACUCCAGGAGGAGGUAAUUUUGGUUCUCCAGGAUUUUCUUAGCAGUGGUGACACUGUUGUGGAGAUCCUCCUCGUUGGUCUUGUCAGAAUCGAUGCUGAGGAUAACAUUUCUCCGGCAAAUGAAUUUGAACUGCGGAGCUCGGUUGUAGAAGCCUGUCACUUGAAGCACAUCACCAACCCUGUACCUGUAAAGACCUGGGCAAGACAUAUGUCAGUUGAAGGACAUGUAUUUGCGAGUUACUACAUUUCCAAAUAUCUGCAGUGCAGGGGUUUGUAGUUUUAUUUUGUUUUCCUGUAUGUGAACUUACCACUGCAUCUACAUAUUUAUUAUGGUGACAAGCACUACUUCAGUGAACAUAAAUAAUCCGUUUCACUUGUCUGAUCACUAAAAAAAAUUGAAGCAAAAAUACCUGACAGUUGACACAUAUAUUGUAUUGUGAAAAUUGAAGUUUUGACAAAAUGAUAGUCUAUAUUAAUGUUAUAGAUAAUUUCAUGUCAAGAAAAUUUCUUUUGAUCAUAUGGAGUAAAAGCUGAUGUAGAUCUAAGUAUAACUACAUAUGCUUAGUCCAAGAAAAUACCGUAAUAUAACUGCAGUGUUCUUACCUGAAAAUGUGGUAACUACAAGCUCAUAGUAACAUCCAACCUUGACAUCUACCAGGCUGACAAGCUUGUCAUUCUCUAUCACCUCCUCGUGAUCAGUCAACCUGAGGCCGUCCUCUAAUGGUAUGAACUCAAAGUAAGCCAUGUUUGGGAGGAUGGUGUAAGACACAUCAGCUGGGCUACAUAGUGGACUCAGAUUGACACCGAAAUAGCUUUCUGAGGAAGCAUACAUCGUGCAGACGAAAGGAAUCGCACCACCACCAUAGAAUUCCAGCAUGGGGAUAUAUUGUGCCAUUGUGCCCGUAAGAACAGCUUCGAUAUAUUUAACAUUAGGCCAUAGCCUUCCCAGAAUCCCCUUCCAUGAACCGCAGCUGCAUAUUGCCUCAACCUGAUCAGCUAGCUCUGGGUUGGGCAAUGCAAGGAAGUUCAGCAUGGCCAAACGGCAUGCUGGACUGGUGAUACUGGAGUUGAGCUGACCAAUUCGUAUGUCAUUGACAAGGUCACGCCAAUGCUGCUCAAGGAAGCUGAUAGAUCGAAGGAAUGCUGAGGCAAAGACUGCCCCGAUACGAAGAACAUGCUGGCGUUCUACCAGGCCACAGAGCAGCUGGCAGUACAUGCUCUGCUGGCUAUCAGGGCAAAGAAUGACCUCAUCAGGACUGGUAUAGUUGUUGUAUAAAUCGUGUUUGCGGUGAAGGAAAUGAGGGCUCUUAUAGUAGCUAGUGAGGACUGAUCGAACUGGAAUUCCAGAAUCUGUCAGUGUUUCAGCUUUCACAAAGAGAAGGUACAUAGCUUUCCCCUCACCAAGGCCUGAUAUAUACCUGCAGAUUGGAUUAUGACAUAAAUUGCCAGUCCAAGACAAAUCUGUCUGGAAACUCUUGAUAAACCUUUGGAACUCUGGAAGAUAUAUCUGUGCGCUACUGCUAUGGUGCUAUCUAACAAAUUUAUGUACUGGAUAUUAAUACAGUCAGGAACAAAAGCAUUUGAGCUAAGUUGCAUCUGAGGGUGCCAUUCAGUUUAGUCCAAAAUUCAGGUACCAUAUUAAACAUAAUUACCUUUGGAAGCAUUAAUAGUGUGGAUUUUAGAAACACCAAAACAGCUGUGUAUAACAGUUGGUUUCUUGAUGUGGUAUGAGGUAGCAAAUGUAUAUCUGGCAUUGCCUGAUACUUUGCUAAAGCAGCAACCAAUAUAUGAACUUAUUUUUAAGUUUUUGAGCUGCAAGCAGUGGCAUAUGCGGUAACUAUUGUCCAAUACUUUGCGUCUUGCAACUGGAGUACUGGACCCAGGUUGUGUUACUAAUGUGAAUAAUCCAAAAAAAAAUGUCAAACAGGAAGCAUGCAAAACAACGCCUCUCAGGAUCUGUCAAUUUUAGGGUCAGUGUCAACAGAGCUUCACAAAUGAUAUCAUCUGUUUGAGGCAAACAAAAACAAAAUUUGGUUAAUGCAAUAAUUAACUACUUAUCUCAUUACUUUUGCAAGAAUAAGAAGGUUAGAAAAUUGCAGAAAGGAGAUUAGGCAUACAACUGGAUCCAGAUAUUACACAAUAAUGAAGUUGUCAUAACCACAUCACAAUAUUUCCAUAAGAAGAUAUAAACUUACUUGUUCAUGAUAGGCAUGAUCAGACUAUAGAGGUAGGUUCGACGGUCAAGAUCCUUUAAGAUGGACGGCAUCAAUCUUGGCUCACCUCGAGAAGUCCCCGAGCUACAAAUUAAUUAUGUAAUUAGCAUCAAAAGCACAGUCACUAAGUGAAUAGCAAGGCCCUGUAUUAAAUUCUUUAAACACAAUAAGGCCUAAUAUUAACAGUAAUUUCUUUAAUGACAGUAAAGAGGGAUAUAUUAUAGGGCAUGGAUCAAACAUUAGGGUAUUUCUUCAAGAAGCAGAUGAUAUAUUUGUAAACUGAUGUAUCUACUUUUGUUGGCAACUUGUUGUCUAUUCUUUUGCAGGCGGGCCCUAGUUGUUUACAUAGAUUGUGGUUGCUUAUGAUGAGUAUAUUCUGGGUCUGGCCUAAUGGGAAUUAUUUCUUACUCUUUCUUCUGCCUGAUGCAAAAUAUGCACAUCUCUUCUGUGUGUUCUUGAAAAAUUAUAUCCUCAAAGGUAGGAGCAAGAGAAAAUAUUUAUACAUACUUUGGUAAUAGAACUUCUGCAUUUUGUAUGUACUUUGCUAAUUACUUCGGUCCUUCCAUAUAGAGAGGAUCACUUAGAAGAUCCUGAGUCAGAAUAGCUUAAACAGAUUGUUAUUUAAAAAAAUUCGACCGGCAGGGGAAUGACCGCCCUCACGGCUUUUCAUUUAGAAGAAGCCUCAACCAAAGCGGCCAAGAAAAGCCACAAACCCUGGCCCCACACACGCGGACUCGCCCUCUAUGGAUCGGUCCUUAACCUGUGGUUUGAGGUCCCUGCCCGGCCAACGAGUGACUUGUUUUUACUAGGCCUGAAAUUUGCUCCCAUGGGGAGUUGAACCCAGGACCUAGAGGUGCUACUUGAGCACUGUAACCUUUGGCUACAGGCCCGUUCGCAACAAAUUGUUAUAUAGACAUAUAGAAUUUUUUACAUUAGCUGGUUGUCAGGAACAAAUAGAAUACAACAUGAUUUGAAUUUAUCACCAUCUUAGCUAUUUAGCAUAACAGUCCCAUGCGCCUUGUAGGGUUGACAGGACUUUGCAACACAUCUGCGAGAGGAAUAUCACAACAUGACAUCCUCCUUUUACAAGCAAAUUACUCUAUAGAAGUCCUUAGGUUAUCCCUCUAUUCCAAAAUAUAAGCAAUUCUAGCAUUCGAAAUUUGUACCAAAAUAUAAACACUUCUAGCACUAUUCAUCCUAUCAGUCACCUCCCAUUCAAACUUCUCAUCUUACCCUCAAUCACCCUCUCACAACCAACCAUUCCUCGUUUAGUGAGGGGCACCAGAGUUUUUUUUUUUCUCCUCAACUUUAAACUCUGCUAAACAACCAUUUCGACUACUAACUUACAAGGCAAGUAGCUUAGUAUGACCAGUCAUUUCUAGCCUAGCACAUUCCAAAAAAUAAAUAUAAACAAUUUUUCCUAAGCGAAGCUCGGUCUGUGCCUCUGGAUUUAUGACAGUCAUUAACAGCAGCCUAGCAAGUACCAAGAGAACUUAUUUUUCUCCCAUUAACCACCAAGUGCACUAAAACCAACUUCUAUCAAAGGCAAGUACAUGUAGGGCCUGCCAGAUUGCCAACCAAUAUAUGUUGGUUGCUACUAUCUCUACCAUACACAGGAAAGAGAUGUGAACUGAUGAAUGCAUUGAAAUGAGAGGCGCACCUUCUAAGCAGCUCCAAGAUAUAUUCUCCACAUAAAAUUGAAGAUUCCUCACCAGUUGCAAUCCUGAGAAUGUAUGGAUGUACCUUAUCAUAUGUUACUACAGGAACAUGUCUCUUGAAGGCAGAAAUAUUUGUUGACCCAUUCAUGAAUUUGCUCAGGUACUCGGUAGCCUGAUUCCUCUCAAGGAUUUUCGUCAAUAUGAGCUCUUGGGCUUCUUUGGCAUUCACUGUUAACAUCUCAAGCUCUUCAAGAGCACCACUUCCCUUGUAGUCUAAGUUAUGAUCAUCCAUAUUACGAACAAAAGCAGAAUUACAGUCAACCUUAUUUCAAAAGGGGAGGCGGGGGCUCAAAGUAACGAUACUGGGAGCUUGUUUGCCCCUUAUAUAGUGUGGUGAUGCAUGGUCUGAGAAGCAUAUCUUCUUAAUAUUUCGACUUUAUUUGAAAGAUUCUGAACCAAUACGACGGUGCAGCCUGUGCAAGAUGAUCCACUUGCUAUCUUUCUGGACACGACAGUGUCUCAAUUUAUGGAACUCCCUCUAGUAGUGUUCUAUUGAAAAGUGUAAUGUGAUGUGAUAAUAUGUUGAAAACUUAAAAAUUAUAUCAAGACGCUGUCCUCCAUUAUCCAUUGCCUUGCUUUGCUGUGUGACGCAGAACUCCACCUGUUUCUCACGAUGUACCUUUAAGAAGGUCCCCUUUGUCAUGAAGAAAAAAUAUGAAAUAUUUGCACUAGUCUUGAAAUAUCACUACAAACUCCUAGCCAUGAAGAAAACAUGAGGCAUGUAGGGAUAGGCAAAAGACACUAUACUUGGGUAACCAGUAAGUAAAGGGCAAUCUUUUUGUGGUAAUGAUAGAAAAAAUAGGUUGGAAAAGCUAGAACUGAGUUGAAGAUCCUAGGAGAGGUGAGUGACAAAAGUGUAAACCUGAUCCACUUCCAUUUUUUGAAUGAAAUGUUUUAUGUAUCAAGAAAAGGUGAAUAGUACCAUGCCAUGGAUUGUGGUUAACAAAUUAAUAACAAAUGCACCACCUAGAUGAAAAGUUGUAACUUUUAAACCAGUUGGAUCAAAAGGACAUGAUUAACCUCAAUCAAAGGAGAUGGAUAAUCUAGCGGAGACUAAGUAACAAAGGUAAUAAGAAUGCAAACAAAGGGUUGUGGCUGACAGUUAUUGGUUCUUCAUCCCAGGAACUUCUAUUAUUUGUAGUGGGUCAAGUGACUGAUGCUAACCAGAGUCUCCACUCUCCAGAAGCAGAGACCAUCUACAAUGCUCAAAAAUCAUAAUAUUAGUAUUGUGGUCAAAAGGAGUAAACAGAAGAAAAAAACAUGUUUACAUUGCCACACAAUCCCAUGGACCUAAGCAUGAAGCUGCUGGCAAAAACAGAACAAAGUUUAAUUCAUGCAAAAAAAAAUGUGAACUCUUUUGACUGCAAUUUCAUAUGGAACUGGGCAUGGAGAUGCUGACAAUGACAAAUCAAAGCACAUAGACCACAGGUAAACAAUAUUCCAGUGGAAAAAAAAAACAUCCACCAAGAUGAUGAGGCAAAAGGUGCACACACAAUAAUGAUAUUUGUCAGAUCAUGAUAAAGUUGUCAAUAAUGCAACUAAGGAAUACACUGCCGUGGUACAAGGUCGCACACAAUGAAACACAUCAGUAAAGUAGAUAAUACUGGAGACAAUAACAUAUUUUGUACACUAAAAAAGUUAUUCCAGGAAAGUUGUAACAGCAUCUGAAGGUUUCGUGUAACAUAAGGCGUUAGAAGGGAACAAUGCUAGCCUUAGUUUGCAAGGUCCCAAGGUCACUGAAUCAACAAAACAUACGGCUAUAAACAAACACCAAAUUCCAUACUAGGUGCAUCCCCAACUUGAAGCAUCCAAGGAUGAUUCAAUAGUAAAAAGAACAGGUUACUCAGGAAGGUAAAGAGCCUGCGCAUGCAUAUGCUCAAAAUAUCAGUACAUCAGCUGAGCUCUACUGACUUACACCUGCUACAAAGGUGGCAGCUGCAGAUUAUUUCACAUACCAAUUCCUUUCAAUUGAAUAUCACAUUAUCACAAUAGAAAGCGGAAUUCUACCGUACCCCUAGCCAUUUUCAAAAGGUGAUAUCGAUGGAAUAAACGCGUAGGUGACAAUCCCAGGCAUCAUACUUUCUUUAUGAUAUUAUCUAGUCAUUUCAGGGUAAAGGCAUGCAUUUACAGUAUGCGGAUGCUCGCCGCAUAUGGUGCACUCCCUGUGGUGGUGCCAUGCCCCCUGCUCUUCGUCUAUUAACUACCUUCACAAAAAAGGGGAAACGGUGCACAUAUUCUUUGCUAAAGUUGUAAGGAUUAAUCAGGAAAGAUGAGUUAUUGGAUCCCUUGUAAUAUCAUUAUUGUCAUAUAUCCCCAGAUUUCUUUCUCCUUGUCCUUGUGAGAUCUAUCUAACCUUCUCGCUCCACAACAGAAACUAAUGAAAAAAAAAACCCCUUCAAAGUGGCCUGCAUCCUCCAUGAUCUGAAUAGCCACAUGUGCAAGAAAUGAAACAUUCAGCAGCUAUUAUACAUACAUGCUUCUUGAGCUUCGACAUUUUACCAAACACUAAAAUGCAUCCACCAUGCUUCUUGAGCUUCUUAGUGGGCACAGCAUUAGGCAAGCAGAGCAAUCUGCUUCUUUCAAGGUAAAAAGGGCAUAUCUUUCCACGUUCAUGUUCUCUAGUAUAGUUCACUCAAGUCAGCAUCACCAUAAAGCUAGCGAUUACGUAAUAUCUCAAAAAAAUUCUCAAGCAAGCAUCUCCUGUUUCCAUGUCUCCUAAAGUUUUUGGAGAAAUACAUCAGAGCUAAACCAAAGGUAAAGCAAAAAAAAAAGUCAAUAACUUAAACUAAAUUGUAGCACAGCAUUAAAAAAAGCUGGAUAUGAAAGGAGGCUAUCAUAUCGAUGUUAUUAAGAAGGAGGUGAGUCGAUUCUCACGCAGGCCAAUCGGGUGCGCGAGCGACGGCGGUUCUCAUUGUAGCACAGCAUAAAGGUGGGAAAAGACCAAAGAAGGGGAGGCUGAGGGAGGAGGGACACUUUCAUGAUGGAGGUGCAAGCAUGCCUGUGAGGGGAAUGAACUGUGCUGAGGCAGAAACAAGUCAGAGAUUGGUGCCCCUUUCUUCACAUCAAGAACAGGGACAGCCAGGAGGGAGGCCAGGCCCCCUCCCUCCAUAUCUCAUCAGUGGUGUUUCCCCUCCCUAAUAACCUAGCAUAGCUUCUCUUUGGAUUAGGAUGGUGGGGGACAUCAAAGAAUGAACUAACCCUCACCAGCCACCCUGCUAGAUAAGAGAGCACAGGACCAGCCUCCUCUACCCCCUACACUCCUACAGGCUACAGUUAGCACAGCACGUCGAUUUCAGGAGUGAAUUCAAGCCACGCGCGCUUGCUCGUGGAGUCCCCUGCACAGAUCCGAUCAUUGGGCUAGGUAUACCUUAUCUACUAGGAGCUUCUUUGUGCGCCCUUUCAUGGAGUCUCUCUCUGAUGAGGAAGCUUCUGCUGCUCCUCCCAUGGCGGCAUUGUUGAAUCGGCUUGAACUCGCCUACCCAGAGGAUUUACAGUUGCAAUCAGAUGACAUAAAGUUUAUCCCCCCCGGGCGGAGUAUUUUACAACUAGCGAGGAAUAGCCGCAAUCCAACGACUAACUAGCGAUAAACCUAAGUAAUGUUACUUCCAAAAAAAUGUGUCAGAAUUUUGCUCACAACGGCGGCGAGGUCUCCGGCUUGCUCCGGCGGCAUCCUCCUGGAUCGCGGCGAGGAAGGCGGGCGGAGGGAUGGAUAUGCAAACGCAGGCCGGUGGAAGGGAGAGCUCUCGUUGUACGGAACGUAAUGCGCGGUGGAUGAAGAGGAGGAGGAGCCAGAUCGCCACCGGCGGCCGCCGUGGAUGGAAGGCGGCGUCGAGACCCCGUCGGGCCCCGAGACCGACGACGACGAGAGAGUGGAGACGAAAGAAGACGACGGGCCCCGUUUGAUUCAGAUGAAAAUACUUUGAAAUCAUUGGAGUAUUAUUAAUUACGUUUUGAAAAAUGUAUUUAUUUCAUAUUUAAAAUGAAUUUACUUCAUAUUUAAAAAUAACUUCUAUGUAGAAAAUUUCCGUACCAAACAAAAGUGUGCCAUGUUCUUUUCUGAUCAAGAUGCAUAGAUUUUACCUCGGUUUUUUAAGCACUUUUUUAAACGAUGUGUUUUUUUAAAAAAAACUGUCUAUACAUCAGUUGAUUUAAAAUAUCAAAUAAAUCUAUUUUCUAAGUUAUAAUAAUUAAAAUUAAUAAUUAUGCACUAAUAAUUAGUAUUUGAGAUAUAUUAAGAUGAUGAUGAAGUUAGCGCACGCAAAAUAAUAAAACAAUUAGGGCUUUACAUCGGUUUCCAUUAGUAUACUUUUUAAAUUGUUAAACGAUGUAUUUUAUAAAAAUGUUACUUUUAAUUAUCAUGAAGAUUCAUUUUCUAACUUUAUAAUAAUUAAAACUUAAUUAAUUAUGUGCUAAUGAUUUUUUUUUUAGUGUCCUAACUUCAUCUUCAACAUAAAUAAACACCACCUAAAGUUUGCUUUGGUCCAGCCCAUCUUAGAAGACCCAUAUGAUCUUUACAUGACAAAAGAGUACUUGUCUCAAUUUGCAUCAUCGCAGAUAAAUACACCCAGCUUAACUGUAAUCGGAGUUUAGAAUUUGAUGGUUUUUGGAUCGCGGUGUUUACCGUUUCUAUGAUAUUUGACAGAACAGUUAGUUGCAACAGUUGGAAAAUACGAAAACAAGGCACAUCGACUCAACAUCAAGCCUGGAAGUUAACCACUGCGUAUGAUGAGGAUCUUAUACAAAUAAGUAUAUUUUCAUCUCAGUUGUAUACGAUCAUACCCUACAUAUGAUUACUUCAUCAAUUUCAAGAUAUAUUGAUACAACUGGUUGAUUGUGCUCGUAGAGAUACUAUAUGAAUACGAGCGUUUAUAUGGGUGAGUAUGUACGUGUGUAUAUGGAUGUUUGCACGAUUGUACAUGUUUCAAAAUAAAUAAUAAUUUGAUCGUAACAUAAUCUUUUUUUUAGCAAAACAAAAUACAGAUGCAGAAGCUCAUGUAAAACGUGCACACAAUCACUUAUAUAAAUACACUGGGUGAUUCCCCGUGCUUUGCUGCGUAAAUUUCUAAGUAACUUUUAAUAUUAUUUUAAUAAUCGAGUUAACAAUAAAAUAUAUAUUAGUUAUUAACAAUAAAUAAAACAGGUUAUCAAACUAUGUUUAAGGAGAAAUACAUUUAGUAGACUCUAUAUGAGAUUAUAGAUAAAAUAUGAUAUUAUGCACUUUGUUUAUAUAGAUGAAUAUAUGUUAAGGAUUAUAAAAAUGAUGGAUAUAUAUAUUAAAAAUAUUGUGAAAAAUAAUGUGAAGGAAGAUGAUUGAAUGUUGAUUUGUAGAAUUUAAAGAAUUAUAGAUGAUGUUGCAUGUUUGCAUAAGUUUUAUAUGUAAUUAUGCUAGUGGAUGAUGAGGUGAUAUAUUUACAUGUUAAGAUUUAUGAUUAAUGGAUUAUAACUUUACACUAAUAUAGGACAUGCAACUUAUGUACAGUAGAGAAUUUUGGGCUUGGUAGUCAUGGCCCAGCAAAUUUUGGGCUUAAAACAAAUGAAUCCAAGUGGCCCAAGUCCCAAGAGCCCAAUUAAUACCAAAAGUUCAGAGUACUCCCAAAAUACAUUCCCAUGAUCUGUGGACCAAAGCACUUUGGAGUAUAGACCCCACAUGUCAGUACCAAAGGUUCACCCAUUCUCCGUAAAAAGCCAAAAAAGCGACGGCUUUAACUCUGGUCCGUCGUUAUGCGUACGAUCAUACCAUUCCCAUUCGCCACUGACACGUGGGGCCCUUCAUCGAUAACGAAGCGGUGGGUCCCACCUGCCGGUCAAAGGUAAGAAAGCCUCAUUCGAACUCACCGCGUCACCGUGACUUUGGCGGCGUGGUUGUCUUCUCUCUCGAAUUAAAUAAAAAUAUUUAUUAGAAAAUGGCAGACGCAUACUCCACCCACGCGUACAAACAGCGAGCUCCUCCACCCCGCGACGCCGCGCGCCUCCGCCCAAAACCCUAGCCACCCCGCGUCGCCCGCCUCGGCGCGCCCAAAACCCUAGGGCAUCCCGGAUCCGAAGCUCCCGGCCCCAAUGGCGUCGCCGGACCUGUUCCCGAACGUCUCCUUCUCCCAUGUCUCCGUCCCCGCCGCCGCGGGCGCGUCGACGGAGGUCACCGGCGGCGCCACGGCCGUGUUCGGCGGGGACGCGUCCACCGGGGCCCCGCGCCUCAGCCUCGUCUGGUCCGGGGAGACCCAGGCGAAGCACACGCUCGAGAUCGAUCUCUCUGACGCGCAGGUAUUCCUCCGUGAUCUCGAUGGUUUAUGGGGGGAGGUGGAGUGGGAGUGGCGUGGGCUGUAGGGCGUGGCCGCGUUGGUUCGAUUCGAUUUCAUGGUGGGGCUCUGAGAGGUGCCUCUGCUGUUGCCGUGCGAUUGGAGGAUGAGAUUUUGAGUUUUGCAGAUAUUUAAGCUGGGGCCGACGGAGUGGCUGUGCGUGAGCGGCGAGUCGGAGGCUAAGGACGGUGUGGAGGAGGUACUCUUCAGUAAUUUCGCUGUUUUUUUGAGUUAUUAUGUGCUUUCGUUUGGUCAUAAUGUACAUUCCUCUGUUGGAUUUCAUAUUUCUGAUGUGCACUGAGCCUUCCAGUAUAUAACCAGUCCAAUUCCCUGAUAUACCACGCCUUGAGCUGUAUGCCUGUAUGGCUGUAUCAUGCUCAAGCCAAUUUUAAGAUGAUCUCAAGGUUUAAUUGUUGCACGGUAGAGGCAUACCAACAUUUUUCUUUUAAAAGAUGGCUCAAAAGAAGAUUCAGUGACAUUUUAAAUCUGGGGCGAAGAUGUUGAUAUUACUAGUUGAAUAACAUGACACAGUUUGCAUUCAAGUUUGUUGUCGGAACACUCUUUCUUUUGGGGGUCAUAUCUUCAUCCAAAUCCAACUUAGAGUCUUAGACACAUACUAGUUGAAACACCUAAAGAAAAAGGCUGGAGUGUGAUAUGAUCUCUCUCGAUACCAUCCUAUAUGUACUAAAAGCAACUUUCUGAAACUGCAAAGGAUAUGCUCUAUGAUUGUGAGAUGCGAGACAUAACUAGAAUUUUCCUGCCUAUCUGAAAGUCUGACUUAUAGAACUCUUGAUAGUCUGCUGCCUAUUGUUACGUUAUAAAGGUGAAUUUCCUGCUGACUGCUGUGUCACACUUCUUUGUUGCCAUCUGCUAAAUAACUCAUCGCAUAGACUUUCUGAUAAUGUUGCCUAGAGGUAAAGGUAAUAUGACAAUUUGUAGAUCAUUGUUUGGCCUUUUCUGUUGGAACUUUCUUGUAGCACAUAUUAAAUGGCUUCAUGUUAACUCUCAAUUCUUUGAGGCAGAAGUCAUAUUCAAGAGCAAUUAAGGUUGUUCUUAGGACAGAAGCUGAGAGCAAAGCCUUCUAUUUAGCUUUUCAACAAUGGAAACACCGAGUGAUUAGUGGAAAAGCUGGUUUGUCCUUUCAUUUCUUGUUUCAGAUAAUUCCAGUAGCAUAUUUUGUUGCAUUAUUUCUGAGUCAUCGGCCCAUGUUCUCAAUGCUAAAUUUCAGAUUAUCAUGCAUAUAGUCAAUUACAGCUCUCCAUGUCUGUUUUUCUUUAAGUGCCAAUAGCUGCCCUUCAAUACCAAGUGUUUUUAAGACUAGAUAAUGUUUUUCACUUUGGUUUGAUAUAUUCUGCUAGCUCUAGUGCUCUACUAUCUAAUGAAAUGCAUAAUGCCAUUUAACUUGCAUAUUUGGUCGUGCCUGGUCUGAUAAAAAAAUAAUGCUAUUAGGAAUUUGUAGAAGUAGCAUGUUUACUGCUUUAUAUCUGCACAUCCAGUUUUCUUGAAGGAUAACUGUAGUUAAUGAAAUCAAAUUACAUCAUGCAUGAUUAUAUUAAUGCAUGUUAUUUUGGAGAACAUACAUUAAUACUUUGCAUCAUUUCUCUUGGUAGAACUUGGUUAUGAGAUGCUCAUUGUAGCACACCUUUUUGUGCUUCUCUUUGUAUUCGUUUCCUUUUUCAAAAGUGUUAUUUGUGACGAAGCAAAGUGGCAACUAAGGGACAACAUUGACAUGUUAAUCUCAAAACUUAUGCCAACAGUGAAGCCAGAGUCAUUAGCCCUUUUUUUUAAUGUAAAAUGCCAUAGAUUCUUAUUUCAACAUAUUGCUGCUUCAUGGCAGGUGAACCUUUGGAAAAUGGAUUAAUAAUUGGUUCUAAAAGCAAAUUUGAUACAAAAAUUGAGGCCUCAUCAGCAAAGAUGUAUUUCCACUACUAUGGCCAGUUAUUACAUCAGCAAAAUAUGUUGCAAGACUUUGUCAGGACAGGUCAGUAUCUCUGGCCUAUUGUCAAAAGAGUUAAAAUAAUGGCAUGAAGGUCUCCUUUCUGUAUAUAUGUAAUUAGUUUACAACCUUUUACUCCAGGAACAUACUAUGCUGCUGUAAUGGAAAAUCGAUCCGAUUUUGAGGGUCGAGUUGUGGUUGAUGUUGGAGCUGGUAGUGGCAUUCUUUCAUUAUUUGCUGCACAGGUACACUCCAACAUUCUCCAUGACUUUUCUAACUUCUUGUUUUUUAUACAAAAUAACAGAUGAUGUUUUAUAUGUUAAUAUCAGGCUGGUGCCAGACAUGUAUAUGCAGUUGAGGCAUCUGAAAUGGCUGAACAUGCUCAGCGUCUUAUUUCUGGAAACCCAUCUCUUGGACAAAGAAUAACGGUUCGUUUAUGUGCCAGUUUGGUUUGGAACUUCCAGGCUUCCUUUUUGCCCUAAAAUUAAUCAGUGUCCCCAUCAUAACUAGGUCAUCAAAGGCAAAGUUGAGGAAGUUGAACUUCCAGAGAAAGCUGACAUACUUAUUUCGGAGCCUAUGGGUAUGCCUCAAUGAUAAACUUUCUGGAGCAUUUCUUUUCCCAGAGUCACCUGUGGUGUUCCUGCUUUACAUCUUAUACCCGUUGCACAAUCUAAUAACCGAUUCAUUGUGUUUGUAUACAUAUGGAUAACUUUCACACUUUGCAGCUAGGUGACGGAUAAGUACUAGGUUGCAUUGCCAUCUGUUAAUCCUGUCAAGAAAUUGGCUGUCAUAUUUGUAGACAAACUAUCCGUUGUUAGCAUCAAUGUUCCUUUUAAUGGAUUGUAUGGGUUAAGCACUGGCCAUUGGCCAAAUGGUGAUAGUAUAUGCGGUAUCCACGGUGUUUAUUGAAUAGUUGAAUACCCAAUGUAAACUAGCUAAUAUUUGAAAUGUUAUAUUGUUGUUUGAAUUUUGAAAUUUGGUAUAGGACAAUAAACUUGUUUCUGUAUCUGCUUAUAUGUAUUAUGUAGUGACUUGUUUUGUCUAUAAUAUUUUAGGAACCCUCUUGGUGAAUGAAAGGAUGCUGGAGUCCUAUGUUAUAGCUAGAGACAGAUUCCUUGUGCCAGGUGGUAAAAUGUUUCCAACAACUGGAAGGUAAUCUGAACCACUCUGGAUAUUUAUUGGAAGUUCUGCUUCACAAAAUCUUUAGGUGUUUGAUUAGGAUUGUUCACUAAAUCAUCUGUGCUUACUAAAACGUCAGAAUAGAUCUAUUGGCUAAGUUUUCCAAAAAAUAAACUCAGAUGCAUGGCUUUUUAAGCUACUUUUGGCAUUCACAAUUACUCACUGAUGCCUGAUAUAUUAAAUAUUUACUAGGAUUCAUAUGGCUCCAUUUUCCGAUGAAUACCUCUAUGUUGAAAUGGCAAACAAGGUACAGUAUUACACUCCGAUGAAAUCUUUUUCCUAAGUUUACUGCACAAUCUUACUAUCCAGUGCUUCUAGUGAGGCUAUACUAACCUUGUUGUAAAUUACUAUGUGCAAGUGGGUUGUGAAAACAGUUGGAAUUGAAUCGAAAAUAUUCAAAACUGUUGUCCGAAACCAUACUUUUUUUUUCUUGAAAUGAGAAUACAAAAUGGUAAUGCCAGAAAUGGAUAUGACAUUGGAACUUGUUGGAGCGGAAAUGUCCAGAACAUCAAACUGUAACACCAUAUGUUUAUGUUCACGCGCUUGACCUAGCAACUACGUAAGAUGAGUUCAGAUACACACUAUACAACUUGCAAUUUAUUGAACACAAAGUAAUGAAAUACUCCCUUCGUCCCAAAGUAUAGCAACCUAGUACUCGACUAGACACCACUUAGUACUAUGAACCUAGACAGUCUUCAUAGUACUAGGUGGUGUCUAAUCGAGUACUAGGUUGUUAUACUUUGGGACAGAGGGGGUAACUAUCAAUUUAUUCUCAUCUUUGGACCGUUACCCUAUCUCUGGAUCAACGCCCAUAACAUCUGACAUCCUAUAUAUAGAUAUUACUGUUUCAAAAUUUCCCUGGUUCUUUAAAUAGGAGAUAUUGAGAAAUGAAUUCUCAACUUGUCCAUGCUUUCUGUCAACUGUAUAGCACAGUACCAAAGUGAGAAUGUGUCCAUUUCCCCCACUUAUACCUUGUCUUAACACAAAGAUAAGCAGCUCUUCUGUGUAUUUUCUGAAAAAAGAAAAUGCACACUUAUUCCUAGCUUUUAUGUGUUUUUAGCACAUCAUUUGCUCUAUGCGAAAAUCUCAUAUUUUCGUAUGAUGAUGCUGGUGGGGGGUUAAAGCCACCUUGUGGUCACUUCCUAUUUAUUCUCAUGUUGUUGAGCAAGUAUAUUAUCCUUGCUGAAAGUAUGUUAUUUCAAUCCUAAGUGUUUCUUUAGUUUGACACAUUAUAUUUUGGUUGUGUGUCUCUGCAGGCUCUCUUCUGGCAGCAGCAUAACUUUUUUGGUGUUGAUCUUACACCUUUGCAUGGUUCAGCAUUCCAGGGGUAUUUUUCACAGGUAUCUCAUCCCUUUUCUUUUCAACUUUUGACUAGAAAGUACCUCAAUUCAAAAACAACAAUAAAUAGUUCAAUGCACUCUUACUGGCACCUAAUCUUUCAAUUAGCCACCUGUAUUCCAGUUCCAGUGGUUAAUGCCAAGAAUUGAACCCCGAGAAUGGCUAUUACUUAAGUAAUUCUAUAUAACCCAUGACUGCAUUGUUGAUCAGAGUGACUACUGACUAGUUAUCAAAUCUAAACGCCCCUGCAAUUCUCAUGCAGCCUGUGGUGGAUGCAUUCGAUCCAAGAUUAUUGGUUUCUCCGCCUACGUUUCAUACGCUUGAUUUCACUACCAUGAAGGUAAAUAUUUCUUUAUUGGUGAUGAGACUGAAACUACAGGUAAUUUUUCUGUAUUGUUUCUCCCUGCAAAAUGAAGCAUUCUUUUCUUUCUUUGCCAGGAAGAGGAGCUUUACGAGAUUGACAUUCCCCUAAAUUUUGUGGCCUCUGUUGGCACUAGGGUGCAUGGGCUAGCUUGUUGGUUUGAUGUAUUGUUCAAUGGGAGGUCAGUGCUAUAUCGGUUUAUUUGAGUCUAUAUUGUCUCUUGUCUGCUUCUACCCGCUACAAUCUGUGUGUUUUACUGCAGCACUGUCCAGAGGUGGCUUACCACUGCUCCAGGCUCCCCUACGACUCACUGGUAUCAACUACGAUGCAUACUUUCACAGCCAUUAUAUGUCAUGGCAGGACAAGAAAUAACAGGACGACUUCAUCUGGUAGCCCACAGUGCACAAAGCUACACGAUAUACUUGACGAUGUCAGGUUGGGCAUUUUCUAUUUCGUUUGUUAUCAGUUUUUUUCCCUCUAUUGCACUUGAAGCUGAUGGUUCUUGCUCUUUUGGUUAUUUUCUGGAAGCUAAAAUGUGGGGUGAGGGGGCAGAACAAGGUGGCAUCCUGCAGACAUCCACAGCCAAACUUGAACUCAAGGAGCCAUACUACAGGCUGUCUCAACCACAACCAUAUGUGAUGCAACAAGACCAGCAGCAGCAGCAGUUACCAUCUUUGCAGCCACAGGUAAGUUGUUUUCUAUUAGGUAUUUGAAGAACAACGGGGAUGUUUGUUUAAUAUUUAUUUUCAUGCAGUACAUCUUAUGCUUAUAUCUGCAUCUUGCAUAACACUGGCAACACCAGAAAAAUCACCAUAUUAUGUCUCAUUUCCUGCAAGGCACAUAAUCCUGUACUUGAAGUACCUAUGUUACUGCCUACUGUAUUUGACUGUAUGGAGACGGUUAGAUAAUUGCUUACUCUGGGCUUUUUAAUCUUGUUAGUAAUGUGCUUACACAAUACAACAAACGCGAGAUAAAUAUACUUCAAGUUCAAGAGUUAAUAUGGAAAAAAUAAUUAUUAUUCUUAAUUUUAGAAAUUAUAUACAUGACCACAUAAACAAUGGGGGUUGGGCCCACCAUUCGACACAAAUGCAAAGAAUACAUGUUCCACAAAUACUCAGUAUACACAUGCAAAGAAACACAUGAUUACAAAAUAUAUUGCAGAUAACACACAUGUACAUAUAACUAGCCACAGAAUAUCAUAAUGGGGGAUGGUAUUGGUUUUAAGGAGUAAACAUCAGAAGUAUUGGUAUUCUUACCUGAAUUACUUGCGAGAUCUAAUCGAAACACAUAUAUGCAAAUGUGCGAUAAUAAGUUGGUACAGGUAUUUUGAUUACCAAUAGUUAUGUUUAAUUGCAUUACAGAGUCCUCUCUGGGACUAUCACUACGGACAAGAUUAGUUGUCUGGCCUCAGCUAUUGAACAUUGGCAAGAAUAGCAGGUACACAGUUUUUAGGGUGACAUACAUGGAAUGCUUGUUUGCAAGGCUUUUCGGAACAAUAAACUUCAUUAUAAAUUGAAUUAAAUUUGAAAAGAGUUUUCAAAGGGCAUUUAAACUUUCAAACUGUACUUGUUAGCAAAAUUUUACUGCUGAUGCAUGGACUUGAUUUUAUGUAUUUCCUUGAUAGAUCUAACAUUCGUACUGCAAACAGGGAUCUGAGCAGCAGAUGCAAGAUGGUCUUAGCCCUAGUAUAACGAUUGAACCAGACCAAGACUCGGCGGCCUUCACUAGAUAGCUCGUAAGCCGGAGUUGCUUCAGGCAAACAACUCCAGGCCUGUACAACAGUAUGCUCCUACCUGAUGUUGCUAGGCGUUAGCUGUCAGUGGCUAACAUUGCAUUCGUUGUGUACGAGAGGUUGUGCAGCUGUAGCUAAUUGUGCUCGUGUCUGCACCGUUAUUUAAAGGGGGUCAAAUACAAUAAGUGUAUCUGUUUGCAGGAAAAGCUCAACGACAAAGGCGUCUAACUAGAACGAUUGUUGUGUAUGUUCUUAUGUAUUAUUGUUUUAUUUAAUUUAAAAAUGGUUGGUCGAUCAACUGAUGGUCUGAUGCUGAACGCCGGUGCUCUUUGUUAUGUGCCGCAUUCGCUUGGAUGGAACCUCACGCUCAACGUCUGAGAUUAAUAGUUCUUGAUUAGCCAUGAAAUGUAUGGUGCGAACUGCGAACUAUGGUUUUCUUUCGAUCAUACUGUAUACGGAGUAUGCUUCUAUUGAAGUGGAUGUGGAUCCGAUCUAGAUGCGCGGAUGGAUGUUUUUUCCCCUGACAACACAAGGCAGGUUGUCCUGGCACUGCCCGACAGUACCUGCAGGAGAUUGGCGGCUAGCGUGGCUGUGCCUCACUUCCCCUGCCUGCCUGGAGCGCCUUGAUGUAUUUAGCGAUGUGAAACCAUUUUCUCCCUGAGUUCAGGAUCCCCAUCAGAAUGGCCAUUGAGGAAAGAGAGCAGCUGAGAAUUCUUUGCAUCACGCACGUCAGUUCUUGAUCAGCGUGGCGGCUACGGAAGUACUACUACUUCUAGCCGGCCUGCGUUUUCACCAGCCUACUUCUUUCCAUCGAUAUCCUUGUGCUGGCACCGCGGCCGUCAAGUCAUUGGUGAACAACCCCGAAGAAUCUGUCUUGAGAAAAGAACACCAUCAAAUGCAUACUCGUUGCUUUAUAACUGAAUCGUUCAAAUCUGCAGCUUAAUGUUGAAGCAAGCUAGCCAUGGUCACUCACAAAUGAUUGAUAGAAAUUUCUAGAAGCUAGAAUCGACAUCAGCAAAUCACCGGCAUGACCCACCUCGGCCGUCCAUCCUCAACCAUCCCGCACACAGAUCAACGAGUAAAAGAUGGCGCCUGUAGGAGACGUGGACAGGGCCCCGCCUCCACGUGUCCCUCACGCGAGCCACGACGUGGCGGACCCGCUCCAGAGCAUUCUCGCGGCCGCGUCCCAACGGCCCAGAUCGACCCGCACCCCUCGCAUCGGACGGCCGUGCGGAGCUCCUCGUCGCCUAUAUACCCACCUCCUCCCGAUCCUUCCGUUUCCUCCCCGCUUGAAGGGAAAGUAAGAAAGAAAGAAAAGAAAAAAAAAAGGAAAAUCGUGUCUCGUCUCGUCUCGUCUUCGUCUCCCCCGAUUCCCGAGCAGCUUCUCGAAACCCUCGCGGCCUCGAUUCCGGCGAUGGCGGAGCCCAACCCGCAAGUGGUAGGCGCGAUUCGUUGUGGCUUGUUGGUUUCGAAUUGAUGCUGGUUUUGGGGGUGGAAUUUGGUGCUGAUUUGGUUCCGAUUUUGGGGGUUUUGGUUUGGUUUGGUUUGGUUUUGCAGGAGAGGGAGGUGGAGGUGGAGGAGGUGAGGAGGCCGAAGCUGAGGUACUUGGAGUUCGUGCAGGUGGCGGCAGCGCAGGCGACGAUCUGCCUCGCGGGGCUCUACGCGCUUGCCAAGGACCACGCCGGCCCGCUCCGCCCCGGCGUCGACGCCGUCGAGUCCGCCGUCAAGGGCGUCGUCGGCCCCGUCUACGGCCGCUUCCAUGGCGUCCCCCUCGACGUCCUCGCCUUCGUCGACCGCAAGGUAGCCCCAGCCCCCUCUUUCGCCGUUGCUAACGGUUGCCGACUUGGCGUUGUCCCGCGAGACGAACGAGCGGUGGCGCGGCUCGCUCGCUCGCUCGCCGGCCGAGGUGGCCGCGCUUGCGGCGGCGCACGCUAGAACGGGAUGGGCGCCGUGCCCUAUCUGGCGCCGCUAGAUUUUUUUCGGGUGCGGUGCAUGAUUGCUCCGACGCGGGCCCUACGAUGGCGUGGGUGGUCAUUUUCUUGGUGCGCGUGAUGUAGCUGGGGCCUACAGGGGUGGGCAAUCUGUGGUGGAGAAUUCGUCCCCGUACGGGAUUCCCGUGGUGGUGCAUCGAAUCCGGCCCCCAUGGUAGAUUCCUUAUUAGAUUCCGGCGCAUUCUAGCACUUGGCGGAGUCUCCGAGGUGAUGAACAGGUCCUAGUUUGGCAGUUGGCAACGAACCUGCCGACGAACUCCAAAGUUGAUUCCAAUUUGAUUUCAGUGUUCUUAGUUGGCAAUAUAGAAUUUGACUUUGAGGAUUGGCUUGCAGUAGAGUUCGGUGCUUGUAGGAAUUUAGGAAGAACGGUAGAAAUGUGGUGGUAUAGUCCAUUUGACUGAUUCCACUCAGUGUUCUUUCUUGUCGAUAAAUAAUUUGAUUUUUGAGUAUUGCUUCUGGUAGCUUUCGGUGCUAAUUGAUGCAAGAAUAUGGAGGCACGGUAGAAAUUGGGUUCAGCGUGUUCAUUUUAAAUUGAUUCCGAAUUUCCGAUUCGAUUUCACUGUGUUCUUGCUUGGCAAUACAUAAUUUGAUACUGAGUAUUGCUUCUGGUAGCUUUGGGUGCUAAUUGAUGCAAGAAUUUGGAGGCACGGUAGAAAUUGAGUUCAGCGUGUUCAUUUUAAAUUGAUUCCGAUUUGAUUUCAAUGUGUUCUUGCUUGGCAAUACAUAAGUUGAUACUGAGGAUUGCUUGUGGUAGAAUUCGGUGCUAAUUCUUGUAGGUAUUUGGAAGCACGGUAGAAAUUAUUAUGUGUUCUUGCUAACGGAGGUGUAACCAUAAAUUGCAGGUGGAUGACACGGUGCAAGAGCUGGACCGACACCUCCCGCCGACGCUGAAGGCCGCCUCCGCCAAGGCUUGCGCGGUGGCCCGCGGCGUGCCGGACGUGGCGAGGGAGCUCACCGCGGAGGUGCAGCAGUCGGGCGUCACCGGCGCCGCGCGCGUCGCGUACGCCAAGGUCGAGCCCGUGGCCAAGGGCGUGUACGGCAGGAUCCAGCCGGCGGCCAAGGACCUCUACGUGCGCUACGAGCCGGCGGCGGAGCACCUCGCCGUCUCCACCUGGCGCUCGCUCAACAACCUGCCGCUGUUCCCGCAGGUGGCGCAGAUCGCCGUGCCCACCGCCGCCUACUGGGCCGAGAAGUACA
rnacentral:lncRNA from 1 species